rnacentral:lncRNA from 1 species
GAAUGUUGGGUGUUUUUUAUUUUUAUAUAAUAUUAUUUUGAUGAAAAAUAAAUAUUGAAUGUGGGGUUCAAUUUUAUAUGUUUUUUAAUUUUAAAUAAUAUUUUUUUGAUGAAAAAAAUAAUGUUAAUUGUGGGGUUUGAAUGAGGUGCUCCGGCCAGGAUGGAAGAGGCAUACAGCUAUAGUCAUUCCUUUCUUUCACGACGCAGGGCUAAGGCUGGAAGGACCUGACAGGUUGGUAAAUCAUGUCCAAGCAUUGGGAGUCCUCAAGCCCUCAAUCACUGACUCAUCCUUAGAUGAAGGCAUUUCCCAUCCAGGGCGGCCCUAUCGUUGCAUGGUCCAUUUGGGAUGAAGGCAAGACAGCUCGCAGAUGUGGGUUUCAUUGUCCCGCACCCUUUUCGGGUCCCGUUAUCUCACAAGAAUGGGACAGGACGGCCGGGGUGCCUCUCAUUCCACCAGGACUUCAACCCUUGGAUGUAAUGGAUUUGAAUUAGUUUGGUAUGCAAAGGGCAUGACUUGGAUAGGAAAAAAAAAGUCAAGAAGCUGGAUCACCCUACAAUGGAUUCAUGUAGAUGUCCUUCAACAAAUGGCUAAAGGCUUGUCUCUACAGGCUCUCAAAGAUGGACAUAAAGGCUUACGGGGACAAAAUUACUAACAUAUAACAAUUUUGUGAAACUUGAAGUCCUUAAGAUCAAUAAAUCAGUUAUGGCAUCAAUUAAAAUUGUAAAAAAGAUAUAUCAUCACCUGAAAAAUUAAAGGUUCCCAUGAAACAAAACCCAUUUGUUCUUCCAAUCUCUUCUUUAGAGGUUUUAGUCUUUCAACCAGGACAUUGCAGGAAUGACGAACAGCUUCACAGCUUGACUCAGAUGUGGUGCUCCCGGCCAGUCCAUCCACCUUGUAUCAAACUCAAAGUAUCUGCCUGAAUAACACGCACCCUCUCCAGAAGGUACUGACCUCCAUCAGCACAUAGUUGUCCAAGAGCAAAUGCUGCCAUCUGCUUCACCUUUGUCCAGAGCCCUUGGCCUAACUCAAUCCCUCCAACUUCAACAAUGAUUGAACCAUCAUUGAGAACAGAUACUUUCCCUGGAGUUGGCCUUAGCAUCACUUUAUAUAUGAUAGGUACACAGGAAAUUCCCCGUUUUCUCCAUUUGUUGCGACUAUUAAACUCUUGAAUCAUUUCAACAUGGUGGUGAUAGCUCGCAGAUAAAGCCAAUUUAUCAAAAAUAGAUGGUAAAGUAUGUUCGGAAGCUUCUCCCUCGCAACCUCCAUAGAACAACUUGAGGCUCUCGAAGGUGUGAAGAUUCUUUCGUCUAAUAGAAUUGGCAUCAACAGAAAGGGCUGAUGCAACAUGUUCAAUAACAGCUUCAGCAAUAAAAGAUCCUUGUACAUCUCCAGGGCCCCGCAUGGUUGAUUUUGUUGAAACAUUUGUCCUGCAGACCUUCACGUCAAAUGAAAGAGCACCCCAAUUGUAUUUCUUCAAUGCUUCUAUUAUGUUUUGCGGCAUUAUUGGGCUCCAAUCUUCAGAUAUGCCUGCAUUAAUUAAGAGAUCUAUAUGCAAAGCUGUAACCUUUCCAUCACAUUUGAAACCAACAGAGUAAUUUAUUUUCAUUGGAUGUCUCCCUCCUGCCAUUAUCAUAUCAGUUUUGCGAUCAAGGUACAUUCGAACAGGACGUUGCAACUUAUACGCCGCAAGUGCACAUGCAGUUGCCACCUUAACAUCACAAGAUGUCAAUUACUUAGUUGCCUUUUUCUGACUUCAUCCAUUUUAUGCAUAAUUCCCAUAAAUAUAAAAUGAGUGCUAAAAUAAGUUUCAACUUCAAGAAACAUAAUUGGAAGUAAUAUUCAAUACUCAUGAACCAUUUCUGAGACUCAAAACACAUGAACAAUCUAUGAUUUACUGUAAAGUAAUAAGCGGUCCUAAAGUAAAAUAGGCAUCUAAAGAAUGUUUGAAGGUUAUUUAGCAGCUUGCACAUAAUGCAUCAAAAUAUAUGUACACAAUUAAUAUUUAAGUAACACAUAGAAAUGAAUGAGGUGAGCAGCAACUUGCACAAAAUCAACAGAACUAUGUUGGUGUAAAAUAAAGAUAUAAUUAUUUUGGGGGCAUUAUUCUAAAAGUACCAAUGAGUUGCUGUCUCACAAGGAAUUUGACGCAAGAGACAACAUCUGGACAACCAUGUAUCAUAACUGCAUGCAUCAAACAGUAAAAGUUUCUACAUAUUAUGUGUUCUUGCCAAAAAAAUCAGAUCAUAUUUGUUGCAAAAAUGGCAAAAGAUAUUGAUGAUAGUAAGUUUGAGUUCUCACAGAUAAUGCUCUUGUAGCCUUCCCACCAAAACCUCCUCCGACUCUUCUUGUAAUAACACGGACAUUGUGAAAGGGAAUUCCUAGGCACUUUCCAAUUACUUCCUGUGCAGUCUCAGGGCACUGAGUUGAACUGUAGACCAUUAUGCAAUUAUCUUCAUCUGGUACAGCUAGAGCUGUUUGAGUCUCCAUGUAAAAGUAAUACUGAGAACCAAAUUUAAUCUGAGGACAAUAACUGCAUUAGUUAAUUGUCAAAUGGAACUAAAACAAAAAGUUGUUUUAACCACUAAAGAACAAAGCAGUAAUAACUUCAUAAUGGUAUGGAUUGAGGGACCAUAUCAUUCCAGUAUAGUAUGUACUAUGUACUAUUCCAGUAAGGUACUUGCACGGUAGAAGAGGUACAUAAUCCUGUAUUGUUCAUGUCUGUUUUUGCUACCCCCUGAACCAACCCAUGCCAGUGCAUGCUAUUCUAGCAAGGACUGUUUCUGUUUGCCAUGAAUCGGCCCCAUGAUUGAGCAUGUGGCUGUCUCAUGCAGGGCAUGCAGUACUUUAAUUCUUAAUUGAUGCAAGCUACUGGUAGCUCCGGAAAACAUAGAAUCAUUAGCAAGACUGUAUUAUCUAAUUAUUCUUAAUAUAUAUGAGAUAGAGCGUGUCUUAGCAUCAAUUCACAGAGUCUAUAUAGUGAAAAGAAGAUCCAGAAAGUUGAAGUGGAAGGGCAUUUAUCAUUAAAUAAACUAAAAAGCCUAGCUACUGAUUUGCACAUCCUCCAAUUGUUUUACUUUGGCUAUUUGUGCACCAGCAUCUCUCACACAGUAUCUCUGAAUAAAUGGUAUGAAACAUCUAAAGUAUACACUUUCAGCAAAUUCAUUUACUGGUCAACACUAAAGAGUAAAGUCAAAUUCACUGUUCAAGUAACCAAAUAUUGUCAUAUGCACAUGUCUGUCAUUGGAUAAAUGUUUUAUGGAAGCUACUAAUGAGUUCUAUUAUCAACAUCAUUUUCAUGGUAAUCAGCUGUGUGUAAAAGGAGCAGCAUAGACUUAAAGACCAAUGAUCAAGGCGCAUACUUAUGAUCUUUGUUCAUCACUGGUAUACAUACAAGAUAUGGAAGAAAAUGGUGAGACACCCUUGGCACAUGAAUAUGUACCUCAGCUGAGAGAAUCUUGUGAUCAGCUUCAGCCAUUCCUUGGGAGAAAUCACCAACUUGUUUAGGAUAAAUAAAAGGAGGGACCUCAAAAAAACUGGAUUUUCUGACAGCCUCUUCAAUUGAUAGAAUGGGUGCUUCUAAAUUUUCUGUGCUGUAACUAACAUCUGCUUGCUUGGCACACAUGUUGGCGAGUCCCUGUGUCUCUGCAAUCUAACCAGCCAUUCAAAAAGCUUUACUUAAACAAUUCUAGACAUGAUUCCAGGCACACAUUCAAAAACUCCAACUUAGCAGUUCUCUUUUAAAGGGUAUUACAGCAAUUCAACCAAGCCAGGUAGAAUAUUUCAAUAUCACAUAAAAGAAAAAGGAAACAGAAUAGUAAAUUAGAAGAACAAUUUACCACAAGACCAAGUGGCUGACCAGAAUAUUCACUAAGAGAACUAGCAAAUAAUGGUUCAGUUCCAAACAUAGACAUAGACCCAAUGUUCAGUCCUCGUUUUGGAAUGUCUUUGAAAGAAAUAACUGUAAUGAGUUUAUUUGAUGCCAAAGAAGACCUGAAGCUGAUGCCCUUUAUAUGAGCCAAAGGUUUUGUGCUAUAGAUGAAUGCACCAUAAAGACAAUCUUUUGGAGAAGGAAUAUCAUCCACAUACACUGCUUCACCUGCAUGAUUAUGUCGUGUGAUUACUAUCACGAGAGAGGCAUAAUUUAUGCUCAAUGCAGAUAAGCACAUAAGAUAUAAUAAAUUAGCUCAGGAAAGCAAUAAGCAUGAUAAAGUCAACUGAAGAAUAUGCAAAUGAAUUGUACAGAUAUCAGGCAAAUGGAAAUAUUUGAAAAAACAAUUGAAAGAGAGCGUCAGAAAAUAAAAUCUAGAAUAUAAGGAAAGAAGACAGUUGAGGAUAGUCUCUUGUAGACACUUAUCAAGGUCCCAAAGGGACAGGAAUCCUAUAGGAUAUUAUGCACAGACACACACACAUACAUAUACAUAUACAUACAAUUCAAACGAGAAAAGCAACAAAGAAAAAUGAAGUUCCCUGGAUGGGACCUCAGCGACAAGCAAAACAAACAGUCAUAUGGCUUCAUUUCCCAGAACCCACUAUUAAGAAAAUAGGAUGCAAUUGGUCAUAACUCCCCAAACUCUAUUAUGUUUCUUUAAAAUUGAAGCUCUUACCUUUUCUAGGAUUCUCACCAUAGCGCAUGUGUAUUCCAUCUAAAUUGUUUUCUAUGUAAGCAACUUCCUAAGCAUCCUCAUUAGGUAAGAACUUAUAUAAAGGACACAAAAGGGCCCUUUUUAAGUUAAGAUGGUGAUGCUGAUGCAAGAUGUUAUAUAUUAUUUGCAUUUUGGAAAGAUUUAGAGAUUUUCAAAGUGUUUUGAGCUGAACAGAGUCCAGUGUGCCAGGCCGUGGCCACGGACAUGAGUGUGAACGCGCCAGUUCAUCCACGCGGGGCAGCGCGUGGGCACGCUGCCCCGCACAGGUCAUAAAUGCCACAGAGUGGCAUUUAGCCUUCUUUUUUUACCCGCGUCCCCGCGCAUCCGCACGCGGACGAGAACCGAAAAAAGAAAAAAGAAAACCGGUUCAUACCGGACCGGUUCCGGUACGAACUGGUCUCGAACCGGUCCGAUAGGCGACCGGUACACCUACCGGUACCGGUUCAGCGUACCUUGCCUGAGACCCUAUCUUUUACUUCUUGAUAGUAUUGAUUUGGUUUUUUAUCCUUUUAAUAGCUCUCAAUCGUCUUUAGCAAGGUCCACCGUACCGGUACCGGUCGGCGUACCGGUGGCGUCCCGGACCGGUACGAAACCGGCCCGUAUCGAUCCGUACCGGUGGCAUACCGGCCGAACCAAUGGCGUACCGGUCCGAACCGGUGGCGUACCGGUCCCGUACCGGUCCGAUACCAGUUCUUCAACAAUAAAUUACCGGUACCGGAUUUCACGCUGAUCCGGUACCAGUCCCAGGCCGGACCGGUACGGCAGACCAUGGUCUUUAGUGAUUAUUCAUAAUUGUUUUAUGAUUUUGACUAAUUGUUAUUGGAGCUUAAUUAGCCAAUUAAAGCUAGUUAAUUCUUUUGACUAGCCAUUUAUAACCAUUUAUAGAUGUUGGGCUGGUGUUGAUGGAUCUUUGAUGUUUGAGUUGCCCUUAUAAGAUCAGGAUAAUGGGCCUUAAUGUCUUUGACCCAAUCAAACCAUUUCUAAUCUCUUGAAUUUCUCUAUAUAAGAGAUGUUGAGCAGCGGUUUUGACCCGUUGAGGCCGAUUUUAAUCUCCUAGAUUUCUAUAUUUGAGAGGUUAGGCCUCUUGAGAUCUUAAAUUCUGAAAUACAAUGAGGUAGAGAGCCAUAGAGUGACACCCAACACAAUGUUCCCAUCAUUUUCUUUUUUUUUCUUUUUCCUGGUCAACCUAAAGGUGCAUUAGUGUUAGUUUCUUGAGGAUCUACUAGUGCACUAGCACCACUGGUGCAAAUCAGGUUCGUCAUGUCUUGUAGAGAAGCUGAGCCUGAAGCAUGUUCCUAUGAGGGCAGAAAGAACUUCUCCAAAGAUAGUGCCUAGCAUACCUCGGAUCAAGGUUUGAAGAACUGGUGCUAACAGGUAUGCAGGUUGGUGACUAGUACGGUAUAGCACCAGUCCAUUCCAUACCGAACUACAGAAACCGGAACCACGAGGAGGGCGAGAGAAAGAGGUCGAAGAGGAAGAAGGAGAGUGAGGGAGAGAGGAGGAUAGAGAGAGAGAUAGAGAGGAACUACUCGCCUUGUAGAAUCCCACUUCUCACUCACUCCAACGCCUCUACCACUAUCACCAAAUCUGCCAUUCGCGCGAUUUCUACUCACCGCCUUCACCAUCCUACUCGUCCUCCACCUCACCAUCUCUCCCCUCUCCAAAUCCACAAACCACUCCCUCUUCCGCUCCUUCUCUAACAACACCAUCACCUUCCCCACUGGAGAAAGUUGUAGUCUAGGGACUCCAGACUAGAAGGAUUGAGGGAUUAGGCCUCGAUCGGGAGGAACAGAGUUUGAAGUGUUGAGAAAGGGAGGGAAAGGGAGAGAAGGGAGAGGAAGAAGGAGAGGGGGAGAGAGAGAGGCCAUUCACCACCAUCAUCAAAAUCCUUUUGAGAGAGAAUGUGUGUGAAACCAGCGAAACCCUAGAGAAGAGACGAUUUACCAGGGUUUUGAAGAGGGGAGAGAGAGUGUGUGAGCCAAAGAGGUCACUCUCGAUGAGUCUCGAAGCUUCAAUCGAAGGGGUGGAGAGGCUUUUAUAUAGAAACCUAUCCGAACAACUGAACCGUCUCGAGCUAGCAUCGAUUCAGUUCGCUUCAUGCUAAACUGCCUGGUUCGGGUAGGUUCAGCAUUCCCUACAUCAGAUCAUAUGUUGUUUUUCUUUUAUUUGCAUGGAUGCUAAUACACACUACCGUUUAGGCUGGUAUGCCCUAUAGUACAUGGUAUGCUGAUGUACACUUUAGAAAAGCUAGCACAAACGACUAUACACACCUUUGUUCAUCCUGAUACAUAUCACAGCAUACUCUUGGUUUGUCUUUACCUUUAGAGACCUAUGAUAGUAUACUUAUUUGUACCAUUCUUAAUAGAAGAUAACUUUCAAGAACACUUGUAAGCAAAGUCUGCAAUCUUGGUACCAGGUACUGUAUCGGUACCUUAUCGGUUCGGUACAGUAAUGAUACACCUCUGUGCCGAAAUAGCUCUCCAACCAUUUUUCUUAAUUUCCAUCUCGGUACGGACCAGUACACACCUUGGUACGCCUUAGUACAAGUCGGUACACCUCGAUACAGAGCAAUACGUCUCGGUACGGACGGUACAGAGCUUGUAUUGACUUGAAGGUGUAUUUCGUACAAGUUUUCUGCCGGUACAGUACGAAAUGCCUCGUACCAGGCGAUACGGCAGACCAUGCUUGUAACCAAUGUUUAUCUCUCACUCCAUGAAAACUCUUAGGGCCUGUUCAGGUGAUCCAGCACGAUCUAGGUUGAAUGUUCAGUUGGAUUCAUGGACUAAGAAGUCCAUUUGAGCAUGGCAAAUAUCGACCCAACACCUUUCCAGCCCAAAUCCUGUGGAAAGGAAAAAAAGACCUCAAUGGAUGGGGGUCUUUUUUUCCUUCCCGUAGAGUAGCAGGCCCACAAGUUGGGAUUUAGGUUAGAACUUCGGUAGGUCUUUAGAAGAUGCCAGGCUGGAUGGGCCAACAAGCCAAAUUCUUGUGGGAUAUUUCUAUAGGAAUAACCAAACAAUCCCUGAAACAUAAAAAAAGACGUUUAAAUUUUGCUUACAAAAAUGAGUUGCAUACCAUGCUUUCUUAAGCUCGAUAAUAUUUGCAUCCAAAAUUAGAUCUACAUGACCCAUAAGAUUUCAUACUACUCCACAGCCAUAUUGUUAGAUCAUUCAUUGUGAUGUAUAUCUUUAGCCUCUGAUGAAUCAUGAUUUCUAUGUAGAAGGCAUAUAUGCUCAAAUUCCACAUCACUGGAUUCUUUUUUGUAGUGAGUCCCAACAAUCUCUCCCUUCCACCAUGCCCCUUCAUGGCACCCAAGAAUCUCCAAAGAAUAUAUAAAAACAUGCCCAACCUAGUAGCAUAUGAAAAUCUAAUCCUUCUACCUUGCCUGAUAUGAAACAAACUCACACCGAACACCAGGCUACCUUUUAAAACCUCUCUCUAAACUAUCUUAGAUAUUGGGAUUUACAACCUCACCCCAAUCAGUAUCAGCUAUUCUUUUCAUCAAAACCUAACCUUGAUAGUCGAUCUCCACAAAGCACCCUCAUUAUUACCUAGCACCAAAGAGCCACUAGUAUUGACCUAUUAGCCAGUCUCCUAGAUGCCAAGCUUUGAAACUCCGAACAGAUAUGUAGUCUACAUUUUUGUCUAUAAAUUUUGUAAAGCAAAAGUCUGCUCCUUAUGGAACCAAUGAACUCCAAAUAACCAACAGCUAACCAAAAUGCCUGGCAUAAAACUCAAAAUGACAGGAAGACUAUAGCGAUAUUUAAUUGACUGAAAAAGAAAAAUCAUGGUGGCUGGACUAAUUACCAUUCAUAUGCAAGUUUGAGUGAGUGAUUCUCCACAAAUGCAGAUUUAAUUGAUACUUUACAAAUGGCAUGAAGGGCCCAAUUCAUUGAAAUGCUUUUGUUAAUACUCGAACACCAAUAUCAUGGAAGUGAUCCCAGCUUAUGCAAAAGCUGUACUAUAUUACAUGCAGUAUUGAAGGCAACAAGAGAAAAAGGAAAAUGUUCUUUCUAUGUAAAGAAUACAAAAACAUAAGAAAAGUCUUCCAAGUGUCAAAAAAAGAAAGAUGUUGAUGAUGAUGAUAAGUUCAUUAAAGAAUAAAUAAAACAAUAUACCAGAUGCUUGAAUUUCAGCUCCAACUUUCUUAGUUGGUUCACCCAAUGGAUUAUUUUCCUUGCUAAAUUGCAUCACCUGCUUGGACAAUAAAAGUGUAUCACAGUUGUCAAAUCGACCAUUAUUUGCAUAAGUUGGUGCCUUAUCAGGUGAAACAUAAACAGCUCCAUUAAGACUCUCUAUUGAAUAUUCAGCACUAGCAGUAGCAUUAAAUACAUCUACAUGUAUAUUCUUUUUAGGUUGUGCCAAGUCCUUGGAUAGUGGAUGAAGAAAAUCAAAUAGAAAAGAAACAGCCAGACUUGAUCUGUAGGAGGGAUGUGGAGUGCCUUCUUUUGGUAUAAUAGCUUCUCUAAGCAAUCUAAUUGCUUCAAGUAGAAUAGAUGCGGUAACAGGUUUACCCACUAAAAAAUUCUCAACUUUCCUUGCUCUGAUAGCAUAUUCACUCCCAUAAGCACCAAAAGCCAACCGAAGGUUAUCUAUAACAAGAUUGCCUGAUAUUUUAUCUGAGGAAAUCUGAGCUAAAAAAGCAGAAUUGAGAUAAGCAACAGCAUUUCCAAGAGGGCGAGGAGCUGCUCUAAAUGUUUCAAAUAGCAAAUAGGAUUCUUUGGUAGCUUUAGAAUCAACAGAUUCCUUAAUCUCAGAAGAUGCAUUGCUAGUAUAAUUCCAACAAGGAAUAUAUAUGCUCAACAGUAGAGUUCUGUAGUCACACGGAGGCUUCUCAAAGAACUCCUCCAGUGUAAGAACCAGUCUUUCUGAAGCCACCUGUAUACAAACAGUUGAACCAGCAGCAAGAAGUAUUGUGGCAAUGUCCGAGGGCAAUUGACUCCUCUGUGUCAUGAUCAGAUUUCCACCCAAGCUUGCUGUAUUUCGAACAAAUUGUGAAGCCACCUUAUUCAUAUGAUCAGCAAUUUUAGCAAAAACCAAUCUUUGGGAUGAAAAUAAUAUACGUUCACAGUCUUCUUUCAACACUUCAAUAGCCCUAGAAAUUGUUAUGGCUGCUCCAAUUUCAUGCCUUUGUUGUUCCUUCUGAUGACUGAGAGCUCUGGGAUCCCUCUCAGAUCAAUAUAUUUGUCAUACAAAUCUAGUUCCUUGUAAACACCAGAACCAGUAUUGCCAACAACCAUCUUAACACGGCAUCCACUGAAUGUCUCAGAAUUCAGUAGUUUAUAAAGCCCAUCAACACUAUAAGGGCAAUACCAACAACCCUCUGCCAAGCUUGUAUAAUCAGAAUUGUUCAAGGCAUCCAGCAAGGAUUUAACUUCAGAUUUUAAGUAUUCUGGAAAAGUGCAGACCCCAUUGCGGCUGUGAUAUGGCAAUCGGCCAACAAGUGCAUCUUUGUCCCCUUUCUUCCAAAAAGAAUUGAGCCCCAAAUCUUCCAAAUCAACAUCAGCUGCAAAGCUCUUGCAAGCAUCUAAGAUGGGUCGAUAACCAGUACAUCGGCACAGAUUGCCUGCAAUAGCCUUCUCUGCUUCAGAUGCUGUGAGCUUUGAGAACCCAUCUGGAGGCUCAGGCCUAUUGGAUUUAUCUGCCUUGACAAGGGCAGAGAAGAGAGACAUGCACAUGCCAGGUGUGCAAAAGCCACAUUGAGAGGCAUGAAACCCAGAGAACCUCUGGUGGAUUGGAUGAAAGCCAUCAUUGCUGUUGCCAAGCCCCUCUGUCGUUAUGACUGAACAGAAAUUUAUGCUGCAAAGAAGUGUGAGGCAAGAGCUUACAGCAAAUUCUUCCACUCGAUUAUGUACUGGGUCAUAGGUUGACAGAAGAACGACACAAGCUCCACAGCCACCUAUAGCAUGUGGUAGAAGAACGAGUAAACUGAUUCAAUCAUCAUCAGCAAACUCCUAUAUCAUUCUUUUAAAUAUGAGAACAUAUGUACAUUUGAUUAAGAAAAAUCCAACUACAGCACCAUUCUAGAAAUCUUAUAGCUUGCAAAACCAUGAAUUUUAAUUUUUUUUACUCCAAAUGUCAUAUAUCUGGUCUUCAAAUAAAACAAAGAAUCCAUAAAUUUGUGCCAAAAACAGAAUUCUUUCAGAAACUUAUAUUACUUCUAAAGUAGAAGGAGACAACUGAAAACUUUAACUACCCAUGACAUCAAGAAAAAAAUCCAACAAUCUUUAAAAGAAAAAAAAAUCCAACAAACACCAAACCAACAUUCAGAACAGGCAUCAAAGCAGCACAUCUGGCAAAUUUAUGCUCCAGGCAUAGUGACCAAUACCGCUAGCCUAUCACCAAAACAACAACAAAUCUUUAUGCUUGUGCAGUGGUCAACACCUUUAAAGCAUGACCAAACUUCAGUUAAGGAAAAGAAUCAUAUAUUGAAGCUCAGAACAAUGAUAUGCAAAGAGAGAAACAGUAAUCUAUUAUAUAAAAUGAGGAAAAGUUCCAAGCUUUCUGUUUGGAUUGAGAGAGUAGGAGAGAAGAGAAGAGAAAGAGAAGAGAGAAAGUAAUGACAUGAAAUUUUUGAGAAAUUCAGGGGGAGUACCACCACCGGGCUACAAUAGGAGAAGGGUGCCAACCAGAAGAGCCAAGGCUAGUUGGCUUAGAGACAACUGAAUAACACAAAUUUGUGAGCAAACUUUUAUCAGAUAACGAAAAUCCACUAAGAAAUGUGGAUUCCUUUGUACAACAGCUCCUGCUAACCAAAAUUCAGAAAUCUAAUUUAAAAACAAAUCUAAAAAUUGCCAAACAAAAAUAAAAAAACCAUUUGACAAAUUCGUACUCCAGAUAAGUCACCAAUAGCAUUAACUUCUGACCAAAUUUCUAUAUAUUUGUAAAAUACAAUAUCUUCAACCACGUAUCAGUAAUUUACCUAAAAUAGCAAAAAUCCAUAAAGAGAAACAAGUAAAAGAUCACAGCUUUUCUUACCCUGGUAACGAAAGAUCAAAUCUUUAAACAGAACUCACCUCAUCCAACAUAAGGAGGAAAAACAAAAUAUCUUCAAAGGAAAAAAAUAAAAGCAAGAAUCCUCACCUUCUCCACAGGCGAGCUUCGCUCCUUUGAAACGGGUCUGGGUCCGCAGGAACUCGAGCAGCGUGGUGUUAGGGUCGACCCUCGAAAGCUCGAACCGCUCCCCGUUCACAGCGAACACUAGGCUACGCUCCACCACCUCCCCCUUCUCCGCCGCCAUGACCGUGACUUCCUCCUCCUCCUGCUCUGGAGACAUUCUGACCUCCAAUUUUUACUGACGACUAAGACGAGGUCGAUCGCCGCCCAAUCCGGAAUAUGGAACCUGGGCGGCCGCCCGAGAGCCAAGACUAAAUAAUAAACCAAACAAAGAGUUAUCACGUAAGAAGUCACUAUAUUGCGGUUCUCACUGUCAACUACUGGGGAGUGACGACAGUCAUGAGAAAAUUCUUUUUUCCGGCGGGGGCAGGUGGCGAUGGGGAAGGCGACGACAGAGAUAGGCAUGGCUUCCGAUAACCGACCGGUGCAUCCAGGCCCAGAUUGGAACCUCCCGGACGUCUCCUGUCCUGUGCGUUAUUGCGUGCGGAUGCAGGUACUCGUGCCAACGUCUAACACGCUCUACGUUGUGAUUUUCUUACUUUUACAAAUAAACAUAUAAAAAAAAAAAUAAUUAUCAUCAUGAAUGACUUGCAUGAUGCAGCAAUACGUCAUUGAUCCAAUACUUCACGUUACUAGCUUAAAAAAUAAUUGUUCUAUUAAUAAAAAUUCAUUUUCAGUACAAUAUAUAAUUAACUAAUCAAGAUGUCAAUUAAAAUGGACAAUUUUUAUUCAAAUAAAUCUAACUUAGGCUAAAGUAGUCAAAAAGGUCAUUAUAAUGUCAUUAUAAUAGAAAAUAAUAAUAGUUGAGAUUCGUUUUUAAAUAUAUCAGUGUUAUUAUAAACUUGAUGUGAAUUGUUUGAUUUGGUACUAAUAUAUAGUCAGUGCCCUCUAUAGCUUUGAAAGUUGAGGAAAAAUCUAAAGUUGGGAGAAAAAAGAAUCGACAUUUUACCUACGUUGACAGCGAAGAUAAUAAUAUAACAUUCAUUGCACCAUUCAAAAGGCGGAUUGCUUGCAUAAGUUAUUACCUUUUUCUUUGCACCAAGUCAACUAGAGUUUUAUUAUUAUUUCAUCUACAGUAAUAUAAGAUAACAAUAGAGACAUUUCACCUACAUUCAAAUGGUAGGUUUUUAUAGAGGUGAUCAUGAAUUUGGCCGAGUAUAAAAAAUAUCAAAUUUUAAAUAGGUAUGCCUUAAAGCCUGUCUAAAAAUAAAUAUAGUAUAAAGUUAAAUUCAAGGCUCAUCCCAUAAUCAGCUUUAGUUGCUAGUUAUAUAAGUUAUUAGAUAAUGUUACCCUAAGAUAAUUAAAGUUCUACUGCCACCACCAUCAUUAUUGACGAUGAUGAUACUGCUAUUGUUGAUGUUGUUGCUGUUAAUAUUGUUGUUGUUGUUUGUAAUAACUGAGUAUUGUAUUAUCUAUAUGUUUAAUAAUAAACAAGUACAAAUAAUAGAUAAUGAAGUAUCGUACUAUUAUAAAUAUUAAGUAUCAAUUAUAAAAGUACCAACUAUAUUUAUAUAAUUGAUAUUUGAAAAUAUUAUAUAAUUAUAAAAGUUUUACACUCGUCACGUGGAUGCCUAUACUAAUAAUGUCACUAAUAUGAUUCUUUAUUUUAUAAAAUGAGUAGGGAUCUUAUAACUAAUACAAGAGGAUGAUAGGCUUUAAAUAAUUAUGUAUAUAUAGCAGAUAUAUAUUAUUAGUGAGUAUUAUAUUAUAUAUUCCUUUGAUGAUAAGUAAGUAUAAGUGAUAAAUAAUGGAAUAUCUUACUGCUAUUAAUGUUAAGUAUCAAUUAUACCUAUAUAAUUGAUAUAAGUAUGUGGAUUCCUAUACUAAUAAUAUCACUCAUAUGAUUCUUUGUUUUGUAUAAUAAGUAGGGAUCUUAUAACUGAUACAAGAGGAUGAUAGGCUUUAAAUAAUUACUUAAAUGUAAUAGAUAUAUAUUAUAAGUAAGUAUUAUAUUAUCUGUUCCUUUAAUGAUAAGUAAGUAUGAGUGAUAAAUAAUGAAGUAUCUUACUAUUAUUAAUAUUAAGUAUCAAUUAUACCUAUAUAAUUGAUAUAUGUAGAAUUUAUACUCGAGAAUAUCAUCUAUCUAAAAUAUAUAAGUAUUAUAUAUGUAUAAACUGAUAUCACCAUAUUAAUUUAUACAAAUCUAAAUUGAUAUUCAUUUGGUUAUUGAAAAAAGAAGAAAAAAACCAUACCUAGCACAUUGCAUGGAAUUGGUAUUAGAGUGUCAUUAUUAAUGGUAAAAGUUUUUCCAUAAAGGCUCAACUUUUGCAGAGUUCUCCAUUCACUAUAUAGAUAUCAAUAUUAAUAACAGGAGAUUCUACUCAUCCAUCAUUAAAUUUAAUUGCUUAAUAUGUAACAAAAUAAAAAGGCUAUUGGUGCCUUCUAUCUAUUAUAAUUUAUUAUAUUUCAAGAACAAUUGAGAAAAGAAAAAAAGAAGUGCACCUCGCAUCACGUAGGUUAUAUGUUAGUAGUUCUUCACCAUACCAAUAUUCCUACUAUAUAUCUAUUCAUAUAGAUAAUUCAUGACACUUCUUGUCCCCAACAUUAAGACUUCUCAACUUUCUAAAAGAUAUAAAUAAAUAACUUCACACCACAUAUUAACUAUAUUUACUGAAGCCUAAAAAGACUAAUAAACAUAUUGAAAAUUAACAAAACAUGAUUAAAACAUUAUAAUUACUACUAUUGAUAACUAAAUACUAUUGACUUUGUCUUUGACUAAUUAUGGCUUCUCCAAGAUGGGUCGAACCAAGAUCAGUGGACCCAACAUGGUUGGUCCAUUGCUCCUGUAUCAUAUUUGUUAUACUUCGACCUAGCAUUUAGGAUGUCAUUUAUUUCGUAGCCACACUAUCAGUAAGCUUAUAUCAUAUGAUAUUUUUAACAUCAUAUGAUAGAAAGCAAUAUCUAUUAGGCUUCAUAGGAGGUAUUACCUCCAUGAGAUCUCAAAAAUUCUGUAGUUUGUUAGGAGUAAGAUCACAUCAAAAUUGUAGUACAAAACAUGAUAUGAAAUUCUUGAGCUUAUUUCAUCACUUAUUUAUUUUGUAUUUGUUUUCUCUUUUGGUAAGUUAGGGAAUAAGGAGAUAAGAGAGUUGCAAGGAAAGUGUACUUGUUAAUUUCUAAAAGUUGUUAAAGAUACAUUUGCAUUUGGUUGACCUAUAUGCCAUAUGUAGGUGAAUUCUACCACUAUCACAAACUUAAUAAUGUUAAAAUAUUUCCAUAUAUACUUCUGUAACUAACACCAUUAAGAGGGCACAAAAAGGUAUUAUAAUGGCAUUGCUCGGGUAAGGAGCUUGUCGUGGGCACUUAUAUAAUAGUUACUUUAUUAUUAAAGAGUGCUUGCAAGAAUGAUUCCUAAUUAUACUCCUAGGUUGCUAGAGUCAGUAAACUUGAUCUAAAUUGUUAAAAGUAUGUCCUAGAAGCCAAUUUGGCUGAUGCAUUAUUUAGUUUAGGACAUAAAUUUGUAAUUGACCUAAUUAUGAAUUUAUUAAGUUGGGCAUUCUUUUCAUUCAUGUUCUUAUGUGUCCAUGAAUCGUCCAAAGAAUUAAUAAGAUGAUGACGCAGAUUCUCAAGAGUUAAGAAUUUGAGGCAUGUGCCAUUGGUGAUUAAUUUCUGAAUUGCUCCUGAUUGAUGGAUCAUCAUGAGGAUGGUGAUCGAUCCGCUAAUAUUAGUGCACAAAUUACUUUCUUUGAUGGACGAAUUUUGAGUCCACAGUGUGGAGACACUGGAGUGAUUGUGCAAGUGCUUGUUAGAGAACAAGGGUACUGAGCGUGACCAUAGCAAGUAGUCACUUGGAUAUCUAUCCACUCGUUUGUGACUUACUUGAUGCUGCAGUUGUAUGACUGGUCCUUUGACCUGCGAUGCCUCGGCUAUUCACAGUAAGGUUGCUGUAGUUUGACGAGCACAUAAACAUGGGCCCUAUCCAUUUAGGUCCUUGUGGUGCAGAUUGGCUGCAGUAGGUUCAUUGUAGGAGUAUGAGUGCAUCUAGAUAGAAUCUAUCGGCCUUGAUAGAUUAGAAGAGAUCCUAUGUGAUUUAUGAAACUGAGUUCGUAAAUUCUUGACUAAGGUAGUUUUUGAAAAAGAAUUUUUCAAUCUCAAACUAGAGUCGAAUAAAUCUUGACAUAUGACAGACGAUGGGGUUGGACGAGUUAUCCAUGGCCUUCAUCCUGUCGGGAUCCACGAUAGAGGGACUGUAUCAUGCACUAACUGCACCUAGAGGUUCAUCAUUCCAUUCUGCUGGGUUGCCACUACAUGCUGCUAGGUGUCACUGGUGGAUUGUGAGACUCAAAGGCAUUCACUUGGUGAUCAGUGCAUCCGAAUAAGAAGAGUUGGAAUUAUUCCAACCCAUUGAAAAGAGUUUCAAUGAUGUUGUGAUAGAAAUUAUAAUAUAUCUCAUUACCAGAUAGAAUAGAACCUAUGGGGUCACACACAAGAGAGGAUCUGAUCGAUUUAAUAGUUGGAUUAUAAUUUGGAAACACAAUAGUUUGUAAUUAUCAAUUGGUUUAGCCCACUAAGAGUUAGUGAGUUGAAGAAGAAAUUAAUUGCAAUUGGAUUGCAAUUUGAUUGAAUCAAUUGGACUUAAUUAAUUGGGCUCGAUCUUAUUUGAUAAGGUUCAAGAGUCCUACUUAGAGUAGAAUUUCUAGAGUUCUAAUUGGAUUAGGACUUCAAAUUAUUAGAGUCCUACUUGGAGUAGGAUUCCUAAAGUCUUAAUAGAAUUAGAACUAAAAUUAUAUGAGUCCUAAUUAGAUUAGAACUGCUAGAGUCCUAAUUAAUAUUGGUCUAAUAGAUGAAGAUGACUCCUAAUUAGAUUAGGAUUGAAGAGUUCAAUUGAGUUAUGAUCCAAUUGGAUCCUAAUUAGAUUAGAACUCCAAGAGUCAUAAUUGAUUCAAUCUUAUGGAUAAGGAUCUUGAAUCAAACAGGGAGACUAAUUGGGUCCUAAUUAGAUUAGGCUUCAAUGUAUCAAGGGCCACCUAAAUCCUAAGUUGAUUAGGAUUAGAAGAGAGGGGCAAGAACCCCUCCUUUUCCUGGGUACUCCCGGAAUUCGUGUCCCAGUUGGCCGAGACGCGCGUCCUGGGUGUCCAGGAUGCAAGACCCAAUUGGGGCGUGGCUCCUCCUAAUUUUAAGGAGGAGGCCACACCUAGGGUAAGGCUAUAAAAAAGGAGGGCUAGCCCUAGACUUGUUUCAUCGGUUUAUGGUUCCUUUCUUGGUGUUGGCGGCCUCCAUCCCUCUCUUCCUUCAUCCAUCCGCAAGGAAAAAAAGGGCAGAAAGUUGGAGUCUUCUUCAUCAGCCGCAUGGAAGAAAACAUAGAGAAAAAGGUGUUCUUCUCUUCCCUCCUUCUUCCUUCCUCCAAGAAAAGGAGAAAGCAUUUCUCCUUCUCCUUCUUCCUCCUCUUGGAAGCAAUCAAGAAUUGAAUACUUAGAGAAAUUCCAACCAUCAAAAGGGAUCUCUGCAAGGGAACUAACAUCCCGGUGAGAUCAUGAACUUGAUCGAUUCAGAUCUUCUUAUGGAUAUUCGUAGAGGCCGGACACUUGUGCACCUUCAAGCGAACUCGAUUUUCACGAUCAUCAGAUAGCUGUGAAGAUCUAUCCGUUCAAAGGUAAAAAUUUAAUCUUUACAAUUUUAAUUGUAGAUCUAAAAUUAAUCAAGUAAUUAUUUUUAAUCUUUUUUUAGAUUUCAUAAUUUUUUAAGUUAGAGAACUCAGAAUUUUUUUGAAAUCUACGUUCCUUAGGAUGUUCAUGUGAUGAAUGACUCCGCGCGUGUAUUUCUGUCACAAUACGUGCGGGGGUAACCCGACAUAAGUUACAUAGUCAAUAAGAUAAAAUAACAAAUUUGCCUUUAAAAAAAAACUAGGAUAUAGGAGAAAACUAAUUAUGGAUUUAAAAUUCUAAUCCAAAACACUGAAGAGUCGCCUUAAAGCAGAAGGACUCUUCAUGCAGAAUUUUACCGAUGUUUUUUCGAAGGGAUGCCAAGCAUUAGUGAGGCGCCAACCAACAUCCAAGGGAUGAAGUUAAUCAAAAGGUGGCGCCCCAUAGGGAUAAAAAUGUGAGAAGAUAAGAGAAGAAAAGAUAAGAUAAAAGAGGAAGUUAAAUGGAUAAAAUUUCUUUAUCCAAAUGGAAUUUUCAUAAUUAUCCAUUUAUAGCACUAUCAAACCCAAUCCAAUUGGGUUCAAACCAAGCCAAUUAGGUGUCAACUCUUGGUUAACCCAAACUAGAAUAUGAUCUAACCAAAAGGCCAAUUUAAUUAGAUCAAUCGAAAUCAAGAAUCAAAUUCGAAUCCAAUUCAAACUAGGAGCUAGAGUUUGCAACACGUGCUAGCAUGUUCAUUCUGCAAACAUGAUCUAAACUAAUUAGAUCCUCAAUUAGUUUCCUUGUGUGUGACCUAUUGGGUUUUAUAUCUAGCCAACAGUAGGUCCGGGUGCAAUUGACCUGAUUCGAUUAGAACUCUUCUAAUCAAUUUAGGUUCAAACUGUGCAAACCUGAGCUAAACAAUUAGAAUUCUUUCUAAUUGGUGAUCGAAUUAAAUUCUUUAAUUCGAUCAAACCUACAAGACAAGAUUGACGUCUAGCAAUGUAUCAUGUCUACCCGAAAGAUAUAAAAUUUGGUGAAAAUACCAAAUAUACUCUUCAAUGGCAAGUUACCGUGCAAUUUAAUCCUUCAAUCAAUCUGCAUCCCGAAUAUAUAUAUGAGUAUGGAUCUAUGUUAAACUCAAUUACAUAUUCAUGUCUCUCUCAAUCUUGUAAUGAUAAUUCUAAUAAUGAAACAUUAGAAACUCUUUCUAAUUUUUAUUCUGCUUUGAUCAAAGACUUUCUGAAUUAUCAUAUGAUUAGAGAAAGUAGGAUGCGAUAUUCUCUUAUUAGAAGUGAUUGAUUCUUUGUUGAUCUACUCACAACCUUCAUGCACAAUCCACCAUAUCCAGAACACCCCUUACACGACUUUAGUCAUGAUUGAGUAUGAACCAAAACAUGGAUUCAUGUGCACAAGAUACCAUGGUGGUCUCAGGUUAAAAGAUCAGUUAUAUAACUCCCAUUAAGAGAAUUAUCUUUUGACAUGUAAGUAAAACUCCAUAAAAUAUUCUCUUGGCAGGUUAAUUCAGUGAACUCAUUCUCUAAUAAGUACCUACAUCAUUGUAUUAGUGUCUCCACAUAAGUGAUUGUGAGAUCAAUCACUCUCUCUAUUGAGCAUACAAAGGAUGUGUCAGUCUUUCCGGUAACAUUGAUCUUCGACUCAAUGUACCAACAACUAAGAAUAUUUUAGAUUAGGGUUUUAGGUCUCACUUGCAUGAUCUCAUCAUAGCCCUAAAACCAUUGCCCUUAUCUAUGGGGUUCAUCAUAAAUAUAAGAUGCAACAUAUGAUGAAAUAUAAUACCUUUUUUAUUUAUAAUAAAAUGUCAUGUACAUGAGCUGGAAAAUCAAAAGAAAUCCUAUCGCAAUACAGAUUGCAAUUGGCUUGUAGGGCAUUAUUCUUUCCAAGUGAACAUCUAGAAUAUUGGAAUAUGUUAAACCUGAUAAAAAGAUGAGCUCUCAAUUAGCAGUCUUUUCAUACCCAUAAGAAGUAGGAAAAAUUCUUGCUUGUUGUGAAAAAUAUUCUCAUUUUUUUAUGAAAAAUCAAAAGUAAUACUUAACGUUAAUUUUGUGCAAUAAGAUGUGAUUAGGAAACUAGGAUAAAAGUACUUGUAAUUAGAAUUUAACUUAUCAAUGAAAUUAAAGAUUUAGGUUUUUUGCUUAACUGACUAUAAAGAUAUGAGGAAACAUUAAGAAGAAGGUACUAAACUGCAGAAGAAAAUAGGAUAAAAGUUUUCAUUUUUUGGAAUUUUUAUUAAUUUAUUGUUAAAAAACUAAUUCAACACAUAUUUUAUAAAAUAUGUUAUUAUAAUGUCAUUAUAGUGUAAGUUUUAAUUACUAUAAUGCAUAGCCUGGAAACCUUCUUUUGUCAAUUUAGAAAACUGCCUUCAAUCUUGUCUUUAUAAUUUAUUAUAUUAAAAUUAUCAAAAAUGGGUGCAACAUCUUCUAUGGGUAUGACAUUCCUCCAUGCAAGGCUCUUUCACAAAACAUCGCAAUGAUUUAUUCUUACCAACUCCAAUCAUCCUUUCUUCUUUUACUUCAUUGAAAUUUGUCAAUUGUCCAAUAACCAUUCCUGUUUGUGUAUUGUUUCUUGAGGUCUUCAUAUGCCCUGAUUCUCAAAAUCAAAAGCAUCUGAGAAAAUUAUAUCAAGAAAGUUCUAUUAGUUUACCUUCCUCUCAUCUUACAGUAGCAUUGCAGCCGACCCGCAAAAAAAUCUUCAAAAUGUAACCACCAUCAUAAAUAUAAUUAAUAAAAAUUAUAUUUUAGUUAAAAUUAAUAAAAUAUAUUCACCCAAAUUUUGUAUUUGUCAGUGGGCAAGGCACUAUUGCGUGCUACCUCAAAAGCCAAAAGAAACAUUUAAAGAGUCAUGACAAGCAUUGCAGGAGUGUAUACUGGCUUUCAUGAUCCCAAGAAGAAACUUUCGCAAAGAAAUCUUCAAGCAAAUAGAGUUUUUUUAAUUAUUAACCUUUUCUACUAUAACGUCUAUUUAUAUUUAACAUCAAUAAUAAUAAUAAUAAUAAUAAUAAUAAUAAUAAUAAUAAUAAUAAUAAUAAUAAUAAUAAUAAUAGUAAUAAUAAUAAUAUAUUAAUAUUAUUUUUAUUUUUCUGUCACAUCAUCAUCAUUUAUGAUCUUUUCUGAUGUUUGCAAAGAAUUAUUUGCCACAUCGCCAACAAAAAAAGGCCUGCAUAAAUUUUUUUUGCUUUAACUAAUAUUAUUUCUUAAAAUUACUAAUCAAGUAUUGUAUAUUAGAAAUAUGCUAAACACAGUUCUGAAAUAAUUAUAUUUUUUAGAGCAUAUAAUUUGAACAUUCAACGUUUGGUUACUUAUUCAUUAAUAACUUUUUUUAGCUAUUUAUGCUAUUUUAUAUGCAUGAAUAUUUAAUCAUUUUCUUUUCCAAGUUCUAUGUGGUGUUGGUGGUGGUACAAUUUGCUUAACCCAUAAUUUUUUUUUUAUAUAUAGUGAACUCAGGUUAGAUGGCAUAAAACAAAAAAAAUAUGGCUGUUAUGAGAUUUAUUUAUUUAUGUUACUCGUGCUAAUCAUCUUUUUCAAUUUUUUUUGCCUAUUAUUCAAUUUAAUCCUUCCGGUUAUUUUCUAGUGGCCCAUUCAAGCUGUGGCCCGCGAUCUCUGGGCGGACCGAGGCUUUUCUCAGCUCUAGAUGCAAACCCUUGUUAACCCCUCAACAAGUUCUCCCACUCGCAACGCGAGCCUCACGUCUUUCGUUCCCCAUGGGGGCUCUGCGGCUCCCAUUCCUCGCCCUCCUCCUCUCCCCUUCCUCAGCCCUCCGAUCCUCCUCCGCUUCCCUCCCCCUCCGCCUCCGUCCACCGGCCAUUCGCAAGGUCUCCGCUUCCCUCUCCGGCGGCGCAAGCAGAGCUCUCUCCACCCAGAGCCUCGCGAAUGAGGAGCCCACGCCGCCGUCCGCGGCCGACCGAAAGCCCUUUUCGAGCCAGGAGGGGUCGGUGACCCCUCGAUCGGUGGACUUCAAUGCGUGGUAUCUUGAUGUUAUCGCCAGCGCGGAGCUCGCGGACUAUGGCCCCGUCCGCGGCACCAUGGUCAUCCGCCCAUAUGGCUAUGCCAUCUGGGAAUCCAUCCAAGUGCUCUCCCUCUUCUUCUUAAUAUCCAUACUUAUUGAUUGCUUGUAUAAAAAUUAGGUUUUGAAACGUGCUUUGGUUUUUCCAGGAAUAUCUGAAUGCAAAGUUCAAGGAAACUGGACAUAGCAACAUGUACUUUCCUCAGGUGUGCCAUUCUUUUUUUUAUUACGAUUUGAUUUGCAGUACUUUACUAUCCACGGAUGUUUUGAUUUUUUAAAUAAUAUUGUGAGCUAUUAAUGGGUGUUGCUCCAUAUUCAAGAAAAGGUGUACAGCGUUGACAAUUUACUUCGCGACAAGUUAUAUUCUGAAGCUUUUAAUUGCAUAACAUCUUGGACUAUAAUCACUUUGAUUUCAGAAACUUUGGAAUCGAAGUACCAGGCCUCGGCUAUGAAGGCUAGAUUGUUGUAAUUUGUUUAUUGUGAAAAACUCACUUUUGGCAACUUUUGAAGUUGGGAAAUGGAUGCAAACAUCUCCAAAAGAUUUGAUGGGGAUAUUCCUCAAUGAACAUAGAAAUAACUUUUUUGAAUAAAUUAGAAAUGAUUCUUAUCCUUCCUGAACAGAAUCUUUUCUCUUAUAACAUCACAGUCAGAUACUGAGAAAAAUCUAAAUAUAGGAAUUCAAGUGUGAGUUGAGAAUGUUUUUGGGGCAUAAAUUUUAUUGUUAUGGCCUCCCUGGAAACCUGUUUUCUUGUGAUUUUACAUGUGAUAAAUGUUGUGCACAUAGUUAAUCAGUGAAUUAUAUGUCUGACAAGGUUUAGGCAUUGGUUAGGGAAUCAUCUAGAACUAUUUAAGAAAAAAAUACUUUGGCAUGGUUGGGUCUAAUAUGCUCAUUUUAUUGCUCAUUUGACUUCUAUUUCAUGUUUUCCAUGCUGCAAGUUCCUUUUCUCUAAUAAGUCAGGAAGUUUGCAUAGAACUGCACUAGUAUUUCUAACUUCUCUUGACGCUAUCUUAACAUUAUUGAGUUGGAUGCAAAUCUAUAUGCAUUAUGGAUUGGACAAAAGGUGAUGCAGCAUUAUGCAGAAUAAUUUGUUUCUACAAUUUAGGUAACUGGAUGGAGGUAAUAUGAGAAAACACUGAAUCAAUAAGGUUAUGCUAGAAUGGCAAAGUAAUGAGACCUCCUUGCCAGCUCAAACUUAUAGAACUUUUCUGAAAACAGCUGUUAGGUAUUUAAAUCUCUCUAAGCACAAGAACAAGAAAAUCAAGUCAAAGCUUGACAUUAUCAAGGAACGAAAUGCUUUCUUGAACUGGAGUAACAGAGAGAUACAAUGAUGCUAUUAUAUGGUCAAGAAAUGGGGAGGUGACAACUCCCAUACUGAAACUUUUAGGGCUUAAAGAAUAUAAUAUCAAGAAAUGGCGCCUUUCCCUUUCUAAUGCAAUCAGGAUUUUUACCUCACAGCCCUACCUUAAAUCUGUGGGUGCAGGUGCAUGCAUGUGCUUGUGCCGGUCUGGCUACUAUUUAUCCAGGACUGUUUCUGCUUAGCAAUCACUUAGUCUUUCCAGAAUGUAACAAUUGACAUGACUUUAAAUGAAGAAGCAGAUGGAUGCCACACCAGAUAUUUUUCCAUACUGAAGUUUUUUUGGCAAUGUAUUAAAUAGUGAUUAUAGAUGCAACUGUACAAUGUCCCUGUAUAGAGUGUUGCUCAAAAAGUUUAAUAUAAUUGAAGAGUUCAAAAAUUCCAAGAUUUGACUUUUUUUUGGAGAAAUUGACCAAGCAUCUAGGUUCACAUUUAUCUUUUCUCAUGAAAUAGGUUUUAUAACGGGCUAUACACUUUAGCUUCCUAAAUUUAGAUUUUCAGUCAAUUGUUAAUUAACUACUAGGGCUAUUUAGUCCAUUAUCUUCCAAAAUGUAAGCAAAAUAAACAUAUUUGAAUUUUAUAUGGGCAUUUUCUUCUAGAAAAUCUUGGCCAAAUAUAAUAGAAUACUUCUAUCUUUUUAGUACGUUUUAUCACCCUUUUCUUCUUUGCACGAAGAGAGUGCACUUUGUUGGUAUUUCCUCUUAUUGUAAAAAGUCCACCCUGCCUUUCAUAUUUCACAACUUGGCAAUAUCUGCUAUCAUCAUUUCUCUCUUCCCUUGGUUCGCUCUCUUCAUCCUCGGAGACAGGCUUGCCCGUGGUCUGGUGGAACCCUACUAUUUUAUUACUACAUUCAGACUGGAGUUGGUAUAAGGUUUCAAAUUGAAAAAUAUAAGACUACUCUCCCUUUAUGCAACAAAUGUUUGCCAUCCUGAUUCUUCACGUUGAAAUUGUGUGAUAUUUCUUUUGCCUGAUACUUUCAUUGCUGCAGUUUAUUCCAUACUCAUUUAUAGAGAAGGAAGCGAGCCAUGUUGAAGGUUUCAGUCCAGAAUUAGCACUUGUGACCAUUGGAGGAGGAAAGGAGCUUGAAGAAAAACUUGUGGUAUUCUGCUUUUAUUCAUUAUUAAACUGACAUGCCUUUCUGCUGUCUUAUCUUCACCUAGAUUUCAUUUUUAAAAGAGAUUUGCAUUAUAAAUGUCAUAUUAGUUACAUAUUCUAUUAGUUACUGAAGGAACUUUGAUUUUAAUGUUGAAUUUUUACUUACACUUUUGAGCGUAUGGUAGGUACGACCAACAAGUGAGACCAUUGUAAAUCAUAUGUUUACUCAAUGGAUACAAAGUUAUCGUGAUCUUCCUCUUAUGAUUAAUCAGGUUAAGGGCGAUACCUGACUAUUGUUUCUAUAUUUUUAUAUAGUAAUUUAACAUUUUGUAUAAAAUAGUAUUUUAUCUUUAUAGUGGGCUAAUGUCACAAGAUGGGAAAUGAGGACUAAGCCAUUUGUGAGGACACUUGAGUUCCUGUGGCAGGAGGGUCAUACGGCUCAUGCAACUCUAGAGGAGGCAGAAAAGGAGGUCCGUGAUUGUGACACUUUGUUACUUACACAACUUGAAGUUUUCUGGAUUUUUGAUUCUUCUUUUUUAAUGUUUUUGUGCCACAGGCAUUACAGAUGAUUGAUGUCUACAAGAAAUUUGCUUAUGAGCAAGCAGCAAUACCUGUUAUUGCAGGUAGAAAAUCAAGGGCUGAGACGUUUGCUGGUGCUACUCAGACCUAUACAAUUGAAGCUAUGAUGGGUGAUAGAAAAGCUUUACAAGCUGGAACGAGUCACAAUCUUGGCCAGAACUUUUCUCGUGCCUUUGCAACGCAGGUUAUUUGUUCUUCAACCUUUACUUCCUAUGCCUUUUGUGUUUUAAAUAGGAAGUUUUGAAUUUUCUGCCUUUCUAACAGAUCAGAAAUUGCUUAAUCACAAAAUUUUAUUGCAUAUAUCUGAUUUCUUGAUAUACGUAUGCUACUUGACCUUGUUUACUUGGAUGAGAUUUCGUUGUUAAUGUCGAAUAUUUGUGUUGCUCUAGCUUGUUUUGUACCAUUCUGACUCCAUUUGUAUUUGUGAACACUAGCAUAACACUUGUUGCUUUUCCUGUAGACAAAGUUACUUUCCUAAGCUUCAAAAUGGUGUUUCUUUGUAUUUGCUUUACUACUUAAAAUGCCUAUAUUAAUCAUUAGUCUCUUGUAAUUUAAUAGGUUAAAUAACAAUUACAUUUUACCUAGUUGAGAUUCCAUUUUAAUGCUAUUCAUCUCUUUUAUGAAAGAUUUUCACUUGUUUUUCUUAUUAUGAUAUCUCAUAGUAAUAUUCUUUUUGAAGAAGAUGAGAGAAGAUUUAAUGGAAAACUCUGCACUUUUGUCUUUUAGCUGACAUGAUUGUACAUGUAUAACAAUUAUAUCAUAUAAAAGAAAAAAGAUCAUAUGCAAUCUUGAAAUUUAUGUAAAAGCAUGGUGCAAGGUUGGUGGAACCGUCCUGAAUUGUGAGGUUUCGGUUGAUCCAAGCCGUACCGGUGGCCUCACCGGUACUGUUUUAGCAAUGAAAAUGAGACCUAUUGCCGGAGCCGGAGGAGAAGAAGGAAAGAGAGCGAGCGGGGGAGGGAGAGAGAAGGAGAGGUUGGAAUGCCGAUAGAGGGUCGGCGGAGUCUGGCGGAGGGCGGCAGAGGAGGCGAUAGGGGAGGCCGCAAUCGGUUCUCCUGUUUUGAACGAAACAGGGGUCCGGUUGUGGCCUUGAAAAAUUUUGCAAUUUGAAAGUGAAAUCGAUAAAUUGCUUGCUGACUUCACAUAAAAAUUGCAAAAUUUUUUAAGGUUGCGGCUAGACCCUGUUUCAUUCGAAAUAGGAGAACUGACUGCGGCCUCGCUUUCCGCGGACUUUGCCGGCCACCGCCGGCCCUCCGCCGGCGUCCGCCACCCUCCUCUAGCCUCCCUUCCUCUUCUCUCUCUCUCUUUUCCUCUCUCUCACGGUACCAUGCCUUCUGUCGGUAUAGGCCCGGCACGUCCCAUACCAAGUCUUGCCGCCGGAGAACUGGUAUGUUGCCGGUACCGGUUCCUCGGCCCUUGGCAUGGUGCCUCUGCUCGACUUGUUCUAUAUUGGAUUGGGUGCAUUUCUUUGUUGCAUUUUGGUCAUGAGGAUUUUGGCUGUAAGUGGGAGAAAUGAUUAUGUAAUCUCGUUUGAGUGACAAUUUUCACACUUUUACCUUUUCAAUAUUUCAUUAAAGUAUUUCCUUAUGUAACUAAGAAGAGUGGACAAAAUAUUGCAAAACCAUUUUGUUGGUUUACUUGGUUGUUGUUAAAAGGAAAAAAACUGAAAAGCAAGUUAUUUUCAUCUUUAUACAAUUGUUGAAAAAGUAGAAAGCAAUAGAAAACAUCCUUUUAAGAAUUGAAAAUAUUUUUUAUUAGAUAUUCUAUGACUUAUGAAAAUGUUAAGUUGUUCAUCAUAGAUUUAGAAGCACAAACUUAAAUACCUCAAAUAUAUAAGGGAACAAGUUUUAGCUAUGCCUCUAGCAAAAUUUGUUUGAUUUAUAUAUUGUGUUCUGUAAAUUUGAUAAUAUGGAGGCUAAAUUUUGUAAUGUUUAGAGUUACCAUGGAUUUUUGAACUCAGUUUUUAUAACUUCAUCUCCGACUUUUGCACUCGUAGAUAAAUGGUUAUUAGUAGAUAUACAGAUGAACUUAAAAGAAGAGGCAUAAAAGAGUUAGUGUUGUCAAUAGUUAGUGUUCUCCCAAGCCUGUAAGGAUAGAUUAAUUUUGCAACAUUGUUUGGGUGGAUGGAGAAGGGUUUACAAACUUUGAAUAUCAGAAGUUGUCAUCAAAAGAAGAUGAAUGUGAAGCAAAAUGAGCAACGAAGUUAGAAGUAAUGCUUGGAGGGGGAAUUUAAAAGUAAAUAAUUUAAAGCAUGUGGAUACACUAAAAUCUAUGAGUUGAAAUUUGCUCUUUAGUUGUAGCAUGAUGAAGGGGUUUUUGUGGUGAUUUUGACCCAAGGGUAUGGGACAAACGAGAUGUUAAGAAAAUCUAGUAUGAUACAAUUUUUUCCUUCAUGGGAAGUAGCUAUUAGGGUAAUAUAAACCCUUAAAUCUGAGUCAGUAUUCAAACUGCUUGUUUGAACUUCAUGAAUUCUUCUUUGUUGAUAUUAUGCCAAUAUAUGCUAACUCGAUCUCUUUCUUGCUAACCCAAUCUCUUUCUUGUUAACCCAAUCUCCUUCUUGUUAACCCAAUCUCCUUUGCAUAACUUCCAUCUUUCCCUCAUCUUUAAUUAGUAUUGAACUUUGGAAACACUUUGAAGCUCUUCUCCAUCAUACUGGGCCCUUCUCAAGUAGGGGUAAUGUAGAUGGACCGAGAGAGUAGUAAUCCUUCAAUGUCUCAAAUAAGCUAUUCUGCACCUUGGGACUGCGAAUCAUAAACUGUCAUGCCAUCUUGGUCACUAGAUGCAUCAUCACUUGAGCUGCCGAUAUCUCUACCUUGGCUGGAUGAUCUGGUCUUUGAAUUUGAGUGAACAGACUUCUUAUCUCUCUCUAAUGGAUGUGCCUUUUCUUUUCUUGUUGGCCUGAGUAGUUGCCUUCUUUACUUGGAUGUCCCUGGAUGCUUGGCUCGGUUGGGAUGAUCGAUUGAGCCCUCCACCUUGACUAGACCAGGUAUUGUGAUGUUAGCAACUCUCGAUCAAAUCGUUUGGAGGGUGUUUCCGACAUGGAGCCACGUUAUGAUCAAUCGUCCUCGCUCGAUCUCGUUGAUCUGUUGGAAGUGAUCAAUGCAUGAUCUUGCCCAAACUUAUAUAAAUUGACAUCAAAUUUUCAUAAAGAGUAGCAUGCAUACCUUUAAUCAUGUUGCUAAUUUAUAUAACUUUUUGACAACUAUUUUUUUUAAUUUAUAAUCUAAAAAUAUAUUUUUUAGUUUAAAAUAUUAUAGAGUCGAUGAAAAAUUAUUUGGUGGUAUUGUGUAAAUCGUCCAUAGAUCUAUAAUAUAUCAUGAAAUUAUGCUAAAAUAAAAAAAUUGGCAUGACCUCUAUUUACACCAUAUCCAUACUAAUAUUUAUGAUAUGAAGAUCGAUCAAUAAUAGGAUGAAAAAAAGGCCAUCUAGUAUAGAUAAGAUAAUAAUAGAUCUUCAAAAGAGACAUCUUUUGUAGUCCGAGUAAGAAGUUCUAGAAGGUUGUCAGCCUUUGAUCAAAUACCAAGGUACAAAUCGAGAACAUAAUUAGUAGGUUGGAUUAUUUGGCCAGUAGGCCGAAAUACAUGGCUAGUAGGCCGAAAUACAUGGCUGGUAUGCCCAGUUAUACUUGGUCAGCAAGUCGAAGUACUUGGAUAAUAGGAUGAAAUACAUAGUUACUAGACCUAUGACUACUAAAAGAUGCCAACCUAGACCAAGUGUUAAAAAAGUCGGUCGAAAUACCAAAAUGUAGGCUAGUAUACCAAGGUUGCAAGUCGAUACGCCAAGGAUGGAGGAUGAUAUGCCAAGAGUGUAGGUCGGUAUGGCAAGGGUGUAGGCUGAUAUGCUAAGGAUGCAAUCUGUACACCAAGGGUGCAGUCUGGUACAUUAAGAAUGUAGGCCAAUAUACCUAUGGACCUAGGUGCAGGCUGAUACGCGAAGGGUGCAGGCCGACACACCAAGGAUGCAUGUUGAUAUUCCAAGGGUGCUGCCCGAUACUUCAAGGGUGCUGCCCGAUACUCCAAGGGUGCUGCCCGAUAUGCCAAGGGUGCAAACGGAUACGCAAAGGUUGUAGGCCGAUAUGCAAAUGUUGCAGGCCGAUACACCAAGGAUGCAGGACUGAUGGAGACAUCGGAGCUGAUCAUCCACCCGUCUAGUCCACCAUCUUAUUUGCAUUUUUAUUUUAUUUUAUUUUUGGGCUUGUUUGCAUUUUAUUGUUGUAGGGCUUUAUUUGUAUUAUUUUUGGCUUUAUUGGGAAUUAUUUUUGUGUAAGGGGUUUUAUGUUAAUUGUUAUUAUUUGGGCCCUAUAUAUAGGGGACUCUCUUCAUGAUUAGGGUUUAAUGAAGUGAUAAGAAUUUCUUUCCCACGUCUUCCCUCUUCUCUCUUUUCCCCCCUCCUUCUCUUUCCCCCCUUCUUUCCUUCUUCUCCUUCUUCCUCCCUUCCUCUCUUCUUCUUCUCCUUUCUUCCUUCCCCUCUCCUAUUUUCUCUGAUCUAUCACCACAGCAUCCUUUUCGUCUCGGUGCUACAUCAACUUGGUAUCAGAGCUUCAGCUUUGCCCCCGCUGCCAAAGCCACGAUCCAGUUCUUUUCUUUCCUCUCUCUCGGUCUUCAUGCAAAGGAAUAGAGAGGAAAACCCCUCAUCUGUUGUCUAGAGGAGAAAGGCCCUUCAUCGGUUUUCCCAUUCCCGUCGCUGCACCCGCACCCACUGCCGCUUCCGCCCUACAGCGCCUGUCUGGAGCCGCACGAGAAGGGAAGAAGGGAAGAACCCCUGUUCCGCCGUCCCGUGUCUCCAUCCACUCCCGAGCGCCCCGUCAUCCCUCGUUGGCCGCCCCCUUUCCACCACGCUCUGCAACCAGCACCGCCGUCGUGCACCCUCGACCUUCGAGCACCUCUUCUGAGGACCUCCUCCACCGCAUCCCGCUGCCGCUUCCCCUCUCUCUCACGAACCCAGAAAGGUUCGGCUAAUCGGCUCCCAUACGACGACUCCCUCCGCCGCACGCCGCACCGCUGUCGACUGCACCCAAGCCGUUGCCGCAACCCCCAAAAGCUCCACCGUGCCUGAUAUUCAGAGAUAUCACUGCCCCGCGGGUACCCGUAACCGGCCGCCGCCCGUCGCUGCGAGCCCCGGAGUCGCCACCGCGAUCUCCACCCCGCCUCGCAGCCACCGCCACGAAAUCUAGCGCAUUGCCAACGAAUCUGUCAAAGAUUGAAGACGACCAGCUUAACGGGUAAGAUCCAAACCCGUUAACCCGCCAUCCGUUAGACAGGAUUUGUUCCGGGAAAAAAAACAGUGCACGUGAGUUGCACGUGCGGGUUGUACGAGUAUCGGAGCGGGUUGCGCCCGAAAAUCCGAACCCGAUAACCCGAACCUGUAAAGGGUCAAAAAAAAAGAAGAAAAACAAGAAAAAAAAGAAAAAAAGGAAAAAAAAGGGAAGUACUUGUUUGUCUCCCUCCCCGCGACUGCCCUGCUCCUCCGCCGCCUCUGCCGUGCCGCCGAGCUCCCUCCGCAUCGCGCCGUCUCCGCUUUGCCACCGCUGCCGCCGCCGUGCUUCACCUCCUUCGGCCGUCUCCUUCCCACGGUCGACUGCAGACGACCGGAGCCAACUGCCGCUGAGCCCCGAUGAGCUCCACCGCCGAGCCCCGAUGAGCUCCACCGCCAAGCCGCGCCGCCUCCAUCCUGCGCUGCGUUGCCGAGAAUCGCCACCUCGGCCUCCCCUACCGCCGCUGCUUCCCAGUUGCCACACCGAGCCACUGCCGAUCGGUUCCUUGCUGCCGCCAAGUACCCCUUCACCGCUCCUAUCUCCACCCGCACACCGCCAGCUAGACCCGAGGGGACCACCGCCUCUCUUCUCCGAGCCGUUGCCGCCAUCCUCCGCUUACCCCCCCUCCUUUGGUGGUGGUGUUUUGUCAAAUUUUCACUAGCGGUGCCAUGAGGUGGCAUGGGUUGGUGCCCGGGGCCGUGCUAGCCAAGGUAAAAGGGCAUGGGUAGGAGGCAUGCCUUGGCAAGGCACCAUUGUGGGCAUGGUGUUUAGACCAUGUCGGUGGCGAGAAGGUUUGCUGCUGGAGCAUGGCUUGAGGAUUACACAAGCCAUGUGUGACACUUAUUGGUCUAGUCAUUCGAUGGUCCAUAUGUGGUGAUGACUUUGGUAAGUUAGCUGCAAGGUGCGGCAUAGACACGGACAGGAACAGAUGCGGCUUGGACGAGAGGCAUUGUCAUUGGGCUGGGGCGUCGGUGCAUGGCAUGCAUUGGAGGGGCAUGUGUGUGCAGAUAUGGCUUGGGGCGCACAUACCAGGCACAAAUAGGUGUACAAACUAGGUAUGCACGCGUUGAUGCAACAAGCGUGCGUAGAUGCAAAAAAUACGGAAGCUAGGUGCGAUGGUAAUGAGGAAAUGCUUGGUGGCAGACAAGAUGAUGGAAGAACUCAAAAAAGUUGCCAGUGACCGAUUCUGUCAUUGAUGCGAAGCUUGGCCUGGUUGGAAAGAGAUUCUAUAAAGAAUAUGUACACCGAGAAUAGAUAUCUAUGUUAGCUAGCAGGGGUGGGACUUCACUCUCUCUCCGGACAAUCUCACUUUUUUUAGGAAAUAUGGAUCCUUAAAAGGACUUUAUUCUAUAAUUGGAUGAAGGACUGGUUAAGGUAUGCCCAUUGGUACCACGCGGUCGUCCUAGACAGACCUAGAACUUCAGGAUCUGGGAUGGAGAAAGAACUCCCCGUUAGAUUGGUGCGCUCUCUCCAAUUAGGAGAGGCUGAGAAGAAAUCAUAUUAGAUGCUAUUCUCGUCCCAUCAAUCGGAGAGGGCAAUUGCCUUAGAUGAGCUUUGUAUUUCUUUAUAUUUUUAUAUUUUUAUCAUAGCAUUUCGUGACUUAUUGGUAAAUCUACUUUGAUUCUCUAUCAAUCAAUAAUGUGAGACCAUUAACAUGGUUAAAGCUAAACUGUUUGAGUGUAGAUGAAGCAUGCCAUGUCUUUCCAAUCAGUUAAGGUGAUUAUUAUUGCUUCAACCCACUUGGUGAAGUUGUCUGUAGUGGUGAUGACAAAAUGGUGACCAUGACUAGAGGAAGAAUUGGAUGGUCGAAAGGGGGUGUGAGAGAAAGAUGUUGAAGAGACAUGAAUGAAAUUUCGGGAGUACCCAACGCUCAAAAGAGCAAAGCUUAUUUUCCUUCCAGGGUAAAGCAACACAUAGAAAAGGGCUUGCGCAUCAAAAGUCCAGUUCCUUCGCGAACAAAGUUCAGAAUCAAGGGUUCGUAGAAUGGAGUGUACAAUUGGGGAGCAGCCUCACUUUUUUGUAGGAGAGAUAAAAAUGUUGUUCUUCAUGAAGUUCGAGACAAAGGAAAAAAGAAAAGUUUCUUUAUAGUCUCUUCGUUUUGAGACAUUAUGGCUUUGGGUCUACCUCGGUAACAAAGAAGGAAUCCAUUAAAAAAUGGGAUCUGACACCAUGAUAAAAUACUACCCUGAUGAUUAGACCGUGCCCUGAAAUUUGAUAAAAGAAAGGUGCAUUAGCGGUUAAUACAUUGUAAUUGGAUAAUUUAGUAGGAAUAUGAUGGAACGAAAGACCAAGGAAAGGAAUGAGAAUGCAAUAAAAUGUAGGUGCUGCACCCAAUACUGGUGGUUCUUUCAGUAAAGUUGACUGUCUUCCAUGCGUAGCUGUGCGCAGCCGAUGCGUUCUAUUAUUGCUGCAUUAAAGCGUUGGGGAAGAAGUCUCGUUAGUCCAGCAUUUUUGGAUGUGAAUCAUCCCUAUCGAAAUUCCAGUUUCAAAAUUCCGGCUUUCCUUUGCCAAUCAAGCGGGGGACGUACUACUGAUUGAUUCCAGGUCAAUUUGACCAGGGAAUACUUAUAAUAUAAUAGAGCGGAAAGCAAGCAAAAUAAAUUCCAAUGACUCGAGAUCUGGAUAGUGCAUUAAGCCAAGUAGUAGAAAUAGGACCUAAAGCAACGAUGCUUGUUUGCCGACUCCUCUAUUUAUAGAUUUUUAUUCUAUGAUGGAUGGAAUAAGUAGCACCGACAUUCUUUAAACCAAAGGCAUCACUGUAUAAUAUAAGUUACUUUUUGGAGUUAUGAAGGUAGUCUUUUCCGCAUCCAUUGGAUAGCUUGACAGAGGAACACAGAAAUGUGUACCUACAUGUAUAUCUAUUCCUACUUGGUUGCUCCUGCAAUAAUAAAGAGAGGGGGGUGUAUCAUUCUACGAGACAAAUUGAUUAGCCAUUUCCGUGCAGUCUCAUGUUCAAGAAAGACAUUGAUUGGAGUAGAGUGCAUCCAAUCCAAUGAAAAAAAAAAUCUCGUGCAAGCACAAUAAUUGAAAUUGAAUUUAGUGAUUGAUAUGGAGUCGAGCUAAAGUCGAGCAGAGUGGACCUGAAACACCCACCAUCUUCUAAUUCAGAACUUAAUUUGAAAGCCAUAUUUCGACCCAAAUGUUUUCGGGAUGCCCCUAAUAACCAACGAAUGGCAAAUGCUUUUCCUUAUGUAAAUCCUAUUAUCUUGAUUUGGUUGUAGCUGCUAUAUGCAUCCAUGAAUGAGAACAUCUCAUGUCCAGUUGUUGUGUCUAUGAGCAAUCCAUGUUUGGCAAAGGGAAGUCAUCUUUCAGACAAGCUUUAUUUAGGUCUAAAAAAUCAACACAGCAACAGAUUUGCCUAUUCUUCUUGACAGGGACUGUUGUCAAUAGAACAAAGUGGGGACUUCUAUCAAAUAAGAUAGAUGCUUCCACUAAAUAGAAACAACUUUCUAAUUAGUCUAAUGUUCAGAACCUCCUGCAUUCGAUCUCCUCUCUUUUCGAGAUGUUUGAACGAUCGGAGGCAAAGCACAUGAUCAGAACUACGACUUCAGCUACUUGAUCAAAGUAUGGAAGCUAGAAUCGUGCCUAGUGUAUCCUAGCUAUAUAUCUAGUUUUGGCCAUAUGGAUAUAAAGAAAAAAGCCUACACAAGAGUUUGGGUUCACUUUGGCCCUUGUGGAAGGACCUACGACGAAUAGACUCAUUUGGAGGACUAAAACAAACUUCAUCUUUUGGUCAAAAUGACAUCCUCCCGGUGAUGAUUGAGAGUUGCUUAGAUGAGGCCACCAUGCUAUCCGAUCGAUUUAGUCAAGAGAGCGACAUCCAUCCUCCCAUAAUAGCCAAGUAGAGAGGGACAUAAAGGAAAAGCAGGUAACUGCUCAGCGCAGCAAAAAAGAAAAAGAGAAGGCAAUUACAACCUCGAUGGAGAGCAUUGAGGAGUCUGUUCACUCAGAUUUAGAGACUAGAAAGAGUAGCGAUGACAGUUCAAGUGAUUAUAGAUUUGGUGGCCAGAGAGGGAGUGGAGGACACUAGAUCAAUAUUUAUGUGACAACCGUAGGAUGGUCUUCGAUUCAUGGGUGAGUUCCCAUUUAUGUAUGCCACACAGGAUAAAGGCUACGAUGCAUGAGUAGGCAGAGCCUGAGGAUACGAUUACAUAUAAGAGACGAACUUCUUGAGGUCAUUCAGGAAGAUACAUGCGGAACAUGACCUCGCAUGUGGAGUAGGAUCCAUAUAUGUAUUAGGUUUCGAGUCAUAUAUUGUUUCUUAUAAUCCACAGCUAUAGAUAGCUUAUGACUCAAACAGAUAUGGAUAUGGUGCGUUUGAGACAUCGUCUUUUCGUGACUAUUAUCCUACGCAGCCUAGAGCAUCUUACAUAUAGAAUUUUGCUGCCGGCAUAUUCGGAUAGGCUCCUCCAUAGCCAUAUUAUCAGCUAGAGGAUACCUCUCAGAGGCAAAGUUUCAGUAAGAGAUCUGAGACUGGAUAUAACUCGGAGUGCAUUUCUUAUGAUUUGAGCGUACAUGAUACAAUAUUGGUUGGUUAGAGGAGUGGGUUGAUGCGCCUUUUGAUUAUGUUAAUGAUUUGGAUAUCUACGAGAGACAUCGCCACUUGAUAAGAUUCUAGAUAUUGGUAUAUAUCAAGGUAUGCUGAACCGGUAUCGAGACCCAUAUUGGUCUCAAGUUUAAUUAAUUAUAAUCAAUUUUUUUCAACUUUUUUAGUGAUUUUAAGUAUAAUUUGAUAUUUUUUUGAUAUUUUUUGAUGUUUUUAUGAUUCCAGUUUAACCUAAAUGAUGCAUUUUGUUGUUUUAAAGUUAUAUAAAACAUAAAAUGAUUAGUGAGAUGUAUUCUACAAGAAGCAACAUAAAAUAUCUUAAAAUCAACUAGUGAGAUAAAAAUAUAGCAUAAUACAAUCAAUUAUAUAUAUUUACAGUACAAUAUACAUACCGAUAUCUAAAAUUUCGUCGAGUAGCGAUGCCUCAUAGAUAUUUUGAUCAUUGACAUAGUCUGGAGGCAUAUCAACCUACUCCUCUAACCAAGCAAUAUUGUAGUCUUGUUUGUUCAUCCCAUAAGGAACGUGCUCUGGGUUAUAAGUACUCUUGAAUCUCUUGCUGAAGCUUUGGUUCUGAGAGGUAUCCUCUAUUUCAUAAUACAGCUGUGAAGGGGUUCAUCCAAAUAAGCCGACAAUAAAAUUCGAUCCAUAAGAUGCUCCGACGGUAUAAGAUAGUGGCCACUGGAAGACGAUGCCUUAGACACACCAUAUUCAUAUCCGUAUCUGUAUGGUCAUAGGCUGCAUGUGGCUGCGGAUAAUAGGAUCCAGUGUACGACUCAGAAUUUGAUAUGUCUAUGGAUUCUACUCCACAUGCGAGUUCAUCUGCAGCUGCUUUGUGCCCUCCUGAAUGACCUCGAGGAGCUCGUCUUCUUUAUGCAAUCGUAUUAUUGCGGGCUCUACUAGAUCGUGUACCGUGUUCCCUAUCCUGUAUAGCAUAUGUAAACUAGGACUCACUGAUGAGUCGAAGACUACCCUGCGACUGUCUCAUAAACAGUAGUCUCAUAUCCUCCAUUUUCUCUCUGGCCAGUAGAUCCAUGACCAUCAGAACUGCUGCUUUUGCUCUUUGAAUCUGAAUGAACUAGCUCCUCUACACUUUAUGGGGCUGUAGGUGCAUUUUGUUUUUCUUUUUUAGUGUGCCGAGCAGGUGCAUGCUUACCUUUCGUGCCUCUCUCUGUUUGCUUACUCUUUGUGCCCCUCUUUGCCUGCUUACUUUUCAUGCCCCUCUCUACUUGGCUAUGUUACGAGGAUGGAUGUUUUUAUCCGGACUGAGUCGACCGGAAAGCGAAGUGCCUCGUUUUUAACAUUCUUGAUCAUAUCUCUAAGAGAAUGUCUUGGACAAGGAGUCAUGUGAUGAGCACCUUAGUGACCCCUGUGGCCGUGGCUGAUCAGUUAGAAGGUUGCGUGGAAUAUUGCGAUCUGCCUAUUGCCCUGUAUCAAUCCUAGUCUCGCUGGCUAUGAAACUGGCUUGUCGUGGAAGUGAUCCUCGCUUAUCAAGUUUCGGCUAUUGUUGCUGGCCCACAAGCCAUCCGAUCAUAGGAUUAUCCUCAUCGUCAACAAAAGCACUAUGGAUCGAAUCUGUGUACUUUAGCUUAGAUAUAACUCAUAUGAAAGAAUUAGAAUGUAUGGAAUGUAAUUAAUUGAUUAAUAGAUAUCUAAAGUAAUUUUGCUUAGAUGAUAUGUAUGGAUGGACGGUCAAUCCCGAGGCUUUGAAAUAUUCUUAUACCUGAAGAAUAAUGGAUGAUUGAAUUACUGGUUGGGUUGUUUUCUUAUAUUUGUAUAUAAUACAAGAAUGGAACAUCAAAGACACAGAAGCUAAUAAUGCUGAAAGAUUUAAUUUCAAUACUAAAACUUGGGUGAGAAAUUUUGCUAACUUAUUGUACUUAUCAAUUCAUUUUAUAUCUGAAAUCUUGUUUCUAACGUUUAUAAGGCUUGCAACUUUGCCAAAUCAUAUAUUAGUUCAUUAGGAGACUAAGUUUUCUUUGUCCUCUACUAAAAAUAAGGUAAUGUCAUCAUAGACUGGACAUUGUCAGGGAUAAAAUUCAUAAACUAAGUGAUAACAUAAGUUAAUCCAUUGUAAUUAUUUCAUCUUCUUUUUAUAAUAGAAUAAUUAGAGAGAAAAAAUGAAUAGGUUUCUCAUCAACUUUUCUUGCAGCCUCUGCUUUAGUGAAUCUUUGAUCUGCCAUUUUUUAGGUAAAGGUAGUAGCAAGAUAGUGACGAGUGAUAAGGCUAUGUGUCCAUGAGGUUUCUUUAAUAUCUGCUUCAUCUUGAUAAUCCUUCAUAUCAGCGAAUUGAUUGGCUUCAAUACUUAUCUUGUUUUGAUUUGUUCAGGCAAGUUGUGGUAACUUGAAAAAAAUAAUACUGAUGAUUACAAGGUGAAAUUGAUGAUGAUAAGAGGUGAAAGAAAAUAUUUUUUGCCCGUGGUGAUGAAAUGAAGGUUGGUGCUGAUGGAGCUUUAGUUAUUUACUGAUCGUGCAUGUCUUCUAUGGAAUUAGUGAACUGUUGGUGCUAUCUUUUGUAGGGUUCAUUUGCUCUAUGACUGAAAAUAUCUUAUAAGUCAUGGUUAAAUUUUGGCAUCAAGAAUGAUAAGAAAUUGAGUCCAAAAAAUGUAGAGUUGUAUCGUAGUCCCGCAUCCUAUGCCUGAACUUACUUCCAAUUUUUUCAUUUUAACCAUUGUCACGCAAUAUAUUUAUGGUGCGUGAUUUGAACCGGACCUCUCCAGUUUAGCUACAAGUUUGAGAAGAUCUAAACUCUUCAUAUCUAGAUAUCAGCUAGUUUACUCUUGCUUUACCCCAUUAUUUGAAAUAGUCUUUUCGUUGCUUAUUCAUGAGUUUAUUGUUAUAAUUCCAGUUUUUGAAGCAGUCAGUGCAUUGUAACUACGAGAAGGUUUUCACUUGUUCUUUGUACAAAGUAACAUCUUUCUCUUCAUAUAUUUCAUUUUGCUCUAUAUUAUACAAAAUUAAACCACAUUCUGUUAAGUGAUAUUUAUUACCUAAUAAUCUUUGUUAUGGGCAUUCCUCAUAUUUUGCAUCGCAUGCAUGGCACAUGCUUGAACUAGUACAAAGAAAAUGCUGUAAGUUGGGCAGGUGAAGACACAGCCCCCCAAAGUCUAAUUGCGAUAUUUAAUAGAAAGAGCUGUCUCUUUUUUCUCUAUUUUGCUGGGGCAGGGUAGGGACCACAUGAAGGAUCAUCCUAUUUUUGGGGACUUGCAUUCUGAGAGCAUGGCCUAUGUCAAGGGAGAGACUAAAUCCCCCUUUCUCCUCUUUUCUUCCUCUCUUUCUUUUAUGGAAAGACAUGUGCAUAGCAUGUGUCAGAUGCUACUAUGAGCCAUUUCAAGCUAAUACUGGUUAGUCCUUCAAACUUUAAAAGCUUCAUCAUCAAGCAUAUUUGGGUCUGCUACAUUCUGAAGAACUAAAGUGGGAUUUUCUUCUAACUAAAGUCUAGUUUACUUGUUAAAGUUUUGUCGAAUGUACAGUUGGGCCCUAUUGUCUUGAAACCUUGGUUUCUUGUCCCUGGCCUGAGUAUUCUGUCAUAGACAUAUGCAAAUACACUGAGUUGGGUACUUAAUAAAGAAUUUUACUUGAUUGCUGUGGUUUCUAUCAGUGUAUGGAGCUGAGUUAGAUGUCAUGUCUGAUAUUUGUCUGUGCUUGCAAAUUUUAUAUUUCUAUGCCUGGGUCAGAAACCUUUUUGCAGAUUGCAUAAAAAUGAGUAUCUGUAAACCAGAUCUAUGCAUUUUGUGGCUUGAUAUGGUUAGAUAUUUACAAGCCUAAUCAAUAUGUAUAGCCAUGAUGAAUUCAUACUUACGUUUUCCUAGUUUGUUUUAGUUAUUGCAUUAAUUAUUUUCUUGUGUGAACUUACAUGUUUUACUUGUGCAACUUGCAGUUUACUGAUGAAAAUGGACAAAGGCAACAUGUAUGGCAGACUUCAUGGGCUGUUAGCACCAGAUUCAUUGGCGGUAUUAUCAUGACUCAUGGAGAUGAUGCUGGCCUAAUGCUUCCUCCCAGAAUAGCACCAAUACAAGUAUGUUUUCCCUUAAGGGUUUGGGGAUAAAGUUGUCUAUAUUCGUAUCAGUAUUCUUUUGUAUUUCUUCUGACAAGUACUUAGACAAAUUCAUGAUAAGUUUAUAUGCCUAUAAGCUAAAACAUAUCAAGCUAACAUGUUCUUUGAUUUCACUCUAUAUCGUACUCAUAUAGCAUUUUUUCUUUUUUGUCUGGAUUGGAAAUGCUAAGCUAAUAAAGGAAUAUUCCAACAAUGGACGGGUAUCAGAGAGGCUAAUAAGUAUCUGGUGGGAUCUAGCAAUUAGCCAAGAUUAUAAUGGUCCAGUAAGCGCUGGUAACUAGGUAACCCAAGUUCUAGCAGGUCACCAGACAAUUAUAUUUGUGAAGUUUUAAGUGCAUUACUGUGGGUAAUCUUGGAACGAAGUAUGAGACAAAAUGAACUUUUAACAUGACCGAGAUACGUAUAUUAAUGCACCAACAUAUGAUGGUCACAGGACCAAAGAAUCAUAGCUGUGAGUCAAUUAGAUUGUUUGCAAAACUAAUACACGGUUCCAUUGAUUAUAUUGUGGUUUUAACAUUGAAUUCACAUUAAUACCUUGUUGGUGGAAGAAUGGGAAUUUCUAAUAACUCUUUUGUUGGAUGAUGAAUGAUGAUUAGCUUUGUUUGCAUGGGGAAAGAGUUUUCCAUUUAAAAUUCAUGAACAUUUAACUUGUGUACUUAUGGAUAGUGCCCAAUAAAGUAAACAGCAUUUUUUUUACUUUUAAAUUUCAAGAAGGUAAUUGAUUAAAGUUCAAAAAAUAUAAUAAAAUUCUGCAGUCAUUAAUUCCAUUUAGGUGUUUCAUUAAGUUUUGGAUCAGAAAGGAUCCCUUUGUUUCUUAUAGAUUGGGUACAAAAGUCUAAACAUCAUAAUUGGGUCUUAACGAAAAAUCUUUUUGGCAGCAUUAUGUAGAUGAUCCAUAGAUUUACAUCACAUCGUGGAAUCGUGCCAAAAAUAAAAUAUUUUGGCCUGAUUUCCCUUAUUUUCUCAUUUUUUUGAUGAUUUUCGACCUUAAAAUGGAUAAAAAGGAGAAAGAGAGGGAGAGGACCAUUACUUGUUUUUACAUUGGAUCUGGCUUAGAUCCGGUGCAAUUUAGCUGCUACAGUGAUUUUUCACAAUUUUUUAGAGAAAGGGUGUGGGAGGGGCUGAGAAGACAAGGGAGAUCUUCUUAGCCUCCCACCUAUUUUAUUCACCAGGGGAGGCCAUUUUUGGGUGAAACCGGGUUGAACCAUGGCUUGUAUCUUGGUUUGCCUCAGUACUGCUUUGAACCGUCUAGUUCAUGUCGAUACUACUCUGUAUUGUUUUGUCCUUGUUUCUAACUUCCCCAUUUGUAUGGUUCGAUACGCCUCAAACCAGAUGGUUGUGUCGUGUCAAGUGUCGAACACUUCUUGCUAACAUUAGUAGGACACUUAAAAGUGGAGUGUCCAGCUGUGUCGUGUCGUGUUCAAAAGUCCAUAAGUGUAGACAUAUUGAGACAAUUUAAAAAUGAAGUGCCCAAGUAACAUAGGUUUGAAGGUUAGAAUUUGCUGGCUUAGAUGGUACAGAGAAGAUGAACUCCCGACCCUUUUCCCAGAGAAAGGUAGAGCUAGAAAAGGAGAAAAAGGGAAGGAAAAAGGGGGGAGGGGCGGGGUUUGGGGGGCUGGAGUAAAUUGGUCUAUGAUGAUUAUGUCUCCGCAAGGACUCAAGUUAAAAUACAUAUUGUACUUUGUUUUGGUGAAUGGAUGCAUUUGAUUUGAUUCAUGAAUGGUGGAAACUGGCAAUGAUUGGCCACUUUCAAAAAGAGAAAUAUGAGGCACGAAAUAUAACAAUGUGACAAAAGAAUUAGAUCACAUAAUCCAAAUUAAGGAUUUGCUGGGUCCCUUAGGGACUAUUGUCCCUAAAAUAGCGAAUUUUUUUCNNNNNNNNNNNNNNNNNNNNNNNNNNNNNNNNNNNNNNNNNNNNNNNNNNNNNNNNNNNNNNNNNNNNNNNNNNNNNNNNNNNNNNNNNNNNNNNNNNNNNNNNNNNNNNNNNNNNNNNNNNNNNNNNNNNNNNNNNNNNNNNNNNNNNNNNNNNNNNNNNNNNNNNNNNNNNNNNNNNNNNNNNNNNNNNNNNNNNNNNNNNNNNNNNNNNNNNNNNNNNNNNNNNNNNNNNNNNNNNNNNNNNNNNNNNNNNNNNNNNNNNNNNNNNNNNNNNNNNNNNNNNNNNNNNNNNNNNNNNNNNNNNNNNNNNNNNNNNNNNNNNNNNNNNNNNNNNNNNNNNNNNNNNNNNNNNNNNNNNNNNNNNNNNNNNNNNNNNNNNNNNNNNNNNNNNNNNNNNNNNNNNNNNNNNNNNNNNNNNNNNNNNNNNNNNNNNNNNNNNNNNNNNNNNNNNNNNNNNNNNNNNNNNNNNNNNNNNNNNNNNNNNNNNNNNNNNNNNNNNNNNNNNNNNNNNNNNNNNNNNNNNNNNNNNNNNNNNNNNNNNNNNNNNNNNNNNNNNNNNNNNNNNNNNNNNNNNNNNNNNNNNNNNNNNNNNNNNNNNNNNNNNNNNNNNNNNNNNNNNNNNNNNNNNNNNNNNNNNNNNNNNNNNNNNNNNNNNNNNNNNNNNNNNNNNNNNNNNNNNNNNNNNNNNNNNNNNNNNNNNNNNNNNNNNNNNNNNNNNNNNNNNNNNNNNNNNNNNNNNNNNNNNNNNNNNNNNNNNNNNNNNNNNNNNNNNNNNNNNNNNNNNNNNNNNNNNNNNNNNNNNNNNNNNNNNNNNNNNNNNNNNNNNNNNNNNNNNNNNNNNNNNNNNNNNNNNNNNNNNNNNNNNNNNNNNNNNNNNNNNNNNNNNNNNNNNNNNNNNNNNNNNNNNNNNNNNNNNNNNNNNNNNNNNNNNNNNNNNNNNNNNNNNNNNNNNNNNNNNNNNNNNNNNNNNNNNNNNNNNNNNNNNNNNNNNNNNNNNNNNNNNNNNNNNNNNNNNNNNNNNNNNNNNNNNNNNNNNNNNNNNNNNNNNNNNNNNNNNNNNNNNNNNNNNNNNNNNNNNNNNNNNNNNNNNNNNNNNNNNNNNNNNNNNNNNNNNNNNNNNNNNNNNNNNNNNNNNNNNNNNNNNNNNNNNNNNNNNNNNNNNNNNNNNNNNNNNNNNNNNNNNNNNNNNNNNNNNNNNNNNNNNNNNNNNNNNNNNNNNNNNNNNNNNNNNNNNNNNNNNNNNNNNNNNNNNNNNNNNNNNNNNNNNNNNNNNNNNNNNNNNNNNNNNNNNNNNNNNNNNNNNNNNNNNNNNNNNNNNNNNNNNNNNNNNNNNNNNNNNNNNNNNNNNNNNNNNNNNNNNNNNNNNNNNNNNNNNNNNNNNNNNNNNNNNNNNNNNNNNNNNNNNNNNNNNNNNNNNNNNNNNNNNNNNNNNNNNNNNNNNNNNNNNNNNNNNNNNNNNNNNNNNNNNNNNNNNNNNNNNNNNNNNNNNNNNNNNNNNNNNNNNNNNNNNNNNNNNNNNNNNNNNNNNNNNNNNNNNNNNNNNNNNNNNNNNNNNNNNNNNNNNNNNNNNNNNNNNNNNNNNNNNNNNNNNNNNNNNNNNNNNNNNNNNNNNNNNNNNNNNNNUGGAAUCCUAGAAUGGCCUCUUACAUCUCUGCAAAGCGUAAAGGUAUUCAUAUUACAAAUCUCACUAGAACUGAACAUUUAGCAUGUGGAGAUGGAUUACAUCUAAAGAUUGUAGAAGGUAAACAAGUAGAUUUGUUGGCAAUAAGAGCAUAGAAAAGAGGGGAAGCAAACAUAACUCCUUAAUACUUGAGGAGGAGCCCGAGGUUUAUUGAACUGGAGUUUUAAAUAAUAAUACAUAUAUUAUUGUCCUCAUAAACAAAUAUAAAAGAGUACAAAAAUUUAGAGGCUUUUGUUCCCUUUUAGUUUUGGGUGCUUCAAAGUAUCUUGUACUGAUUAUAUUCACCAUUUCACAAGGUCGAAACAUUUUAAUUGAGUGUUUGUGUUUGGAAAUCCUCCGAUUUGAAAUGUUGAGGUGUUCCUAUGACACCAUUUGAUGAACUCAAAAGUUAAAAGGUUAUUAGUAAGGAUAAGGCAGGUUUAGGAAUCCAUAGGGAGACAAAUGGAAUUCCAAUUAGAACAGUUACGAAUUGAUGAUUUGAUGAGAAAGGGCAAAAAUAAGUUUGUUUCUUAAAGAGGAAACUGAGAAAUUUAUUAGUGAUUGCUGUUAAUUUCUUUAAAAAACUUGGAACUCCAUGGAUCCCUCCUAAUUACAGUAGCCAUGGAACUUUCCAAAUCCUAGUGUUGAUGGUUUUAGGGCCUUAUCAUAAAAACCUAAAAUUACAUGACAUUUUUUUUGAAAUCUGAUUGUUGACUUAUAUGUUUCCUUGACAAAACUUAUAAACAACUCUGUAUUAACUAAAGGUUUUAAAUUUAAGGAAAUAAAAACCAACUGUCUCAAAAGAUAUUGACCUACCUGUUUUUGAUUACUUCAUAACUAAAAAAUGGUCCUUUUUCCUGCCUUAUAAGAUGCUGUUAACUACUUUUAUAAGAUCUUUCCUUUAAAACCUAAGACCUGAAGUUGAUUCCAUUUGUUGUUACCAGAAUGGUUACUCUAUUUUUCAUCCCAUCAUCAUAAUUUGUGGAACAAGCCUCAUCUGAAUCAUCGUUGCAAUUCUUCAGCCAAGAUUUUGAUGACAAGUUAUGGACACACAUAUGUGCACAAGGAACAGGAUCUUGUUCCAUGCUAAGAAGGGAUUUCAUGAGAUUGCUCUUGCUUUUCCAAUAUUAAAUAAAAGAUCAAUUAUCACCUCUUGUGACUUCGACCAAAAUGGGUAUGCUGGGACAUGCUAUCAAAUUUUUACUAAUCUCUAAAAAAUAUUCUUUGUUCGGCAUGAACAUAAAAGACUUAUCAUGGUAAAUUUUCUCUUUUCACAUAUGAUACUUAUUUUGUGACAUCGUUAGACCUAAUGGUAUUUGUGGAGACAUGGGUAGUGCUUGAAUGAUAUAUAUCCUGCCUAAGAAAAUAUGGAUGAAUUUGUAAUGUAAUGAGACAGAAGUAUAAAUGCAUAUCAUGCCACUAUAUGCACUGCAUCUAACUUUUCAGAAGGGCCAUCCUUUGUUUCAUAUCAUAUCCCAUUUACAAUUCAUAUUAGUCAAGUUGGUUUAGCAACUAUGCUGAUCUUGACUAAUUCUUGCAUAUGUUUACACGAAUUUGUAUAUCUGUACAUUUAUGCAUUUAGCAUGUGUUAGAAAAUUUAUGUUCAUGUCUGCAUAUAGGAAAUUUUCAAUUAACGUUGUUCAUAUUUUUUUUCAUAUUUUUUUCUUCUGAUAUUUAUGGCCUAGUAGCUGGAAACAUGGAAAUUUCCAAUUAACUUUGUUGGUCAAAAUGGGUGAAAGUGAUGACGGAUUUAGCCUUUCUAGCAUGUUGGUUAGAACUUAAGAAUAUGAACCGCGGUUGACUAUGCUUUGACCUCAAUUUGUUUUGGUAAUCAAAGACCUGAAGUCCCAAUCUACUCUCUGGGAAAAAAAAGCCCUGUUGGCAUUAGCCUGUACAGAUGACUGUAGACCAAACAGGAACUUCUCCAACCUACAAAACUUGGGAGGAAUAUGAGUGGCUUCAUCUGCAAGCCCAUCAGCCACCUGAUUUCCUUCCCUGGAAACAUGGCUAAUUUUUACAGAAAGAAACAGACAGUCCCCCCCCCCACCCCCCCCCCCCCCCCCAAAGAUCAUGCUUUAAUACAUAUAUACUGGCUGAUCUCUCUGUGUUAAUUAUAAGAUACUAAAUUUCUUUCAAAAAAUCUCAUACCACCAGGUGAUAAUAGUGCCCAUUUGGAAGAGAGCAGAUGAGAGAACAAAAGUUUUGAAUGCUGUGGCCUCCCUUGAGAGAGUACUGAAAGCAUCAGGAAUCAAAGUCAAAGUUGAUGACUCAGAGCAGAGGACCCCGGGAUGGAAAUUCAAUUUCUGGGAGAUGAAAGUAAGCACUUUGCUGCCUUGGAUGUUCCGUUCUGAAUGUCAAGUUUCAUCAAAUGCCUAUUUUUAUCAGUAUAUGUGCGUAUGGCGCACAAGCACAUGCACAUGCAAAUGCACGUGCACGUGCAGCACAUGCACGUGCACGUGCAGCACAUGCACGUAGAGAGAGAGAGAGAGAGAGAGAGAGAGAGAGAUUUGACUUUGGAUUUAAUAGUGCAAAAUUGAUGAUAGGCCAUCCAAGUAGAAGCUAAUAUUGUUUACAAUAUGAUGUAUCACAUUUGACAUUUAUAGAGACUAAAAUCAGACAUUUGGGUGCUCUUGUAUUGCAUCAAGGGAAAAAGGGAAAACAUAAAAUUGGUGGUUUCAAAAUUCAAACAAUAUUUUUCUAAGAUUUUGCCUAGAAACAGUUAAACCUAUUGAAAUUUGCCCUUGCAUGUUUUAAGACACAAUCCAGGUUUCAAUUUAUACAACAUUAUACUUUUUCUUUCUUUUCCUUUUUUCUCUUCUUUUUUUUUUUAUGCUCAGGGGUUAGAGCCCACCUAGUUUAUUAGGGUGAAGUUGGAAUUCAAUCCCAGGCUACUAAUAUCCAAUCGCUAGGGACAUUAUUGACAUUUGGAAGUGUCACCCUCUCCAUAUUAUGUAUUUUAACCCACUAGAACUGUUUCCGCCAUCUAUAUAUGUGUCCAUCUAUUCAUAGGUAGGAGACCUCCAUAAUAUGAUUUUCUUUUGAUUUUUCUUUUCAUAAAAUCUCCUCUUAUUGCUAUUUAUAAAUUGACCCAAAGAAAGUCUAUCUAUACUGCAACCAUAACCUUGGGUUUCAAUUCUAUCAAUGAACUCUAAUAGAAUCAUUGCUGUAGGCAUUAAGGGGAACCUUUAUGGUUAAUAUAUUUUUUGACCAAUAUAUCCCCAGAGUCAACCAUUCUCCUCUCGUCGGUGGGAACACCACACCUCUCCCCCUACCCUCAUCCACAACCCAAAUCCCGCCUCUUGCCUCAAUCCCACCCCGUGCCCCAAAUCCCCCUCCGACCACCCUCAUCGCCACCCUCUUAAUCAUGAUAUGCCACCCACCCCCUAUUCUCAAUCUAGUUUUGGAUGAAAACUAAGGGGCUCUAAUGAUGAUGAGGACAACAAGGAGCUAUUGGGGAAGGAGAUGUGCUUGCAGUCAGGGUCAGUGAACAUGAGCUGGUGGAGUUGAGUGAGCACUAACAAGGGCAUGAUGAUUGUCUUGGCCACAUGGAUGUUGUCGUGGUGUAGCUUGAGGACUUUGUGGAAGUGGGCUUUGAUGCAGUGGAUUCAUUUGACAUCCUCUAUUGAAGACUUGAGCUCGUCCUGAGCAAAGAUGAGCAGCGCGAUUUGGUGAUUGUGGCUCUAGACCUUGACCUCAACAAUGUCAAAAUGAAGAUUUGACAAGCAAGGGGAAGACCUAGAAUAGAAGUGCUGCACAAUUGGUGUUGGUGAGCUCGUGGGUGGCGGCGGUGGCGUUGAUGCUGAGAGAAUGCUUGAUGUAGGAGAUGUCGAAGUAUUGGCGUGCUUGCAGCUGAGCGAAUUACUGACAUGGCAUAAGUCCAUGAACCAUUGGCUGUUGGAGAUGUAGCCCUUGAUAGAGAGAUCAUGGUUGGUGAGGAUCUCACCACUUCAAGAAAGAUGUCAUGUUCUUGCAUGUUGUCUACCUUUGCUAUGAUUGGGAGAUAACAUUGUUGAUGAUGACUCUGCAAGCAAGACAAGUCAAGAAGAAGAACUGGGUCCAUCUAUAAGGGAGGAAAGAAGGUUCUGAGUCUAGAAGAAAAUAGGGAGUGGAAGUAAAUGAAAUAGGGGUAGGUGUUUGGAAAAUGAUUGGUAGGAGAAUGAAGACUUGGAAGAAUUCUUCCAAUAAGGUAGUGUUUGGAUACCUACAACUCCCACCUACAUGUAUUUGGGGUUAUGUUAGGGUGGAACUAUAGAUUUAGAGUUACAAAUCCAAUGUUGGGUUUCUAUUACUGCAGUUUCAACAAGUAACUUUCCAUUGUUUGCUUACCUAUAACUGGAAGCUGCAACUGCAAUUCAGCUAACUUUGUUGGUCAUGUAACUGGGACUAUCCCAUCAUCCCUGAAAUGGUGUUGGGAGCUUACCUCCCAACUUGCCACUUGGCUAGAAACUAUCCAAGUGUUAUAACCAUGGUAUGAUACUAUACCAGUUGGUACCGGGCGUAUCGUACCGGUACCGGUAUGCUAGUGUCGGUAUGUCUGGCGAACCACGUACUGUACCGUACUGAUACUUGGUACGCCUAUACUAUUACGGCACCGGUACGGGGUCUGGUAUCGGUACGGUGAACCUUGGAACUUAUAACCAUUGAAUCAAACAACAAAUUUGCAUUCACAUGAAUGUAACACUUUAAUGAAACAAAAUUGCACAUUAUAAAACAAAACUAUUGAAUCAUUCAAGUACCAGUGUACCGUACUCAAACAUAUCUAUACAGAUCAAACAGAAGUUUAAUGUAACAUGGAAAGUCUAUACAGCCAUUUUAGCUGAUUACCCAAUUGCUACCAUUUCACAUUCAGCCUACAACCAUUUCACAAUCAGAGCAAAGUUUUGUAAUUUCAAUACAAUAUUUUACUCGUAUAUAGGAAAAAGAAUUAUAAGAUCUAGCUUGGCUAAGUCACAACCUUAUUGAUACAUUUAUGAAUCAUACAAAUCAACAUCACCGUACGUCCAUAGUCAUAAAUUCAUGCUUUUCUAAUCCUUAUCAUCCAAUUGAUAGGACCUAGGCAUUAUAAGAGGCAAUCUGUUAGCCAUUUGAAGGUGAUGUUCACUAAACAUGAUGAAAGAAGGAAGCUAGAAUUAUAGGAAAUAAUAUGCUCCCAGGUCCAGUUCCUAAGGCGCUAGAUCAAAUCUAGAAGCUAUUAUUGGCAAAACACCAAAAGCCCUCAAGAAGCUGAGUUCUUUGUGUCGCCAAAGAUCAAGAAAAGAUGCAUACAUACAUACAUACAUACAAACGCAGUUUGAAAGCAAUGUUCACAUAUAUAUUACUAUUUUGUACCAAGAAAUAGCGGAUGGGUAACAGUUCCCCUAUCCUUGAAAGCACUUUGAUUCUUUGAACAAGAAGGAAGCUUGGAGUUUUUAGUUGACACCUAGCGGUAUGCUGUCAAAACCAAUAUUUUGGUAGCAGAAAGGAAGAGGAAACCAGUAACAGAUGAAAUAUAUAAACCCAAAAUGGGACAUAGCAGUCAUGGAGCUCAGGUAUAAAUGGAAUUGGAUCAUCAUCAUAGAGCUGAAAAUCAUAAAACCAGAACAAAAAAGCCUUUGGAAAAUCAAAAAAGCGAUUAUCUGGCUACUGGAAGCAAGUAAAAUAGCUCAACAACACAGUCAAUAACUUCAAAAAAAAUACAUAGCUCAACAAUACAAUGAACUACAAAUAGCUCAAGGUCACCUGUAUCAAUCAACAAAUCACAUAUAACUCAACAAUAAGAGUAAUAUGAAAUGGGAUAAUAAUGCUCGUGCCAACCGACCAGUCACAUACCACUCAACAACAAGAAUAAUAGCAAAUAGCUCAGGACUGCAUGUAACAAGAAAAGCAAAUGCAUAUAGCUCAAAACAAAUUAUGGAAGCAAGCAUAGAAGAUAGGAAGUAGCACUAACUUGCCAAGGAAUGGCACAGUUAGAAAUGUCAAAUGGCACAGCUGCAUGUAUGCUACAUAGCGAUAGGGGAAGGUUUUUAUAUAAUAUUGACAAAUUCUGGGUGUGAUAUGCAAACAGACUCUUUUCCCUAAGAACUUAUUAUUGCAGAUUAUGAUCAAUGGAGUUUAUCUUCAGUUUGGAUGGGCUAUUUUGCAAUUUUUAAAGAUUUAAUGAAAACUAAAUGUGUGCAUGUCUUCUUGUUAUUUGUUAAUGGGAUAAGCGAAAGGUGUGGUCUCUCCCAUGACUUCUCAUCCCUAAUGAAGGUAUGACUCGAUCCCAAGUCUCUGGUUUAUGCACUAUACUACACUACUUGCAGAUUAGCUGGAUCAUUGACCCUAUUGUCAUAUAGUUGCAAUAUGUGAAAGCUAGGUUUAUGAGGGGAAGAAAGCAAGAUUCAAUGACUAUACUCUCCUGAAUUGUUGUUUUAUGCCAUCUUAUAAUGUUCAAGUGUUCCUAUUUUCCAGUAUCAUCAAGCAUCCUUGUAAUGACUAUGAUGUGGAAGUGGAAUACUCGGGGUUAGAACUGCUUAUGUGAUCUAGCGAAGGAUUAGAGCUUUGGGAGGAACUUUUGAAGUGUUUUGUUGGGUUAAAAUGGAUGACAAGGCUUCUAGUGAUCUUAAAAAUGAAUGAAGUUGUGCAAAACAAAGUGAUAAUAAAUCCAAAUAUAAUCAGAUUAGAGCUUACUUGUUAACUGGGGGAAAUAGAUAGCAGAAAGAAGGAAUAAUAGAAAGAAAAGUAGAAUGUAGAAGAAGAGAGAAAUUUGAGGAAAGAAUAAGACUAGGGGAGCUGACAACAACCAAACCUUGGCUUUCUUCUUUGUUUAAUGAAAUCAUCUUAAACAUCAUCUCUGAAAGAGAGAAUUAUGGCCUUUAUAUAGAGUCAAAACUCUAACAAUGUAAAAAAAGUUCUUCUUGACCCUUGAAGUAAAAGAAGUUCUGGCCAUGAAUUAAAGCAUAAAACGAGAAACUGUAAAAGACAUAAAAGCUCCUAAAUAAGAUACUGCUACAGUAGUGAGAACAUUUGCUUGCUGCAGUGAUGCUAGUGACUUGGUAAUGAAGACUCUAAACAUUACUGAAACUCUUCCUGUUAACUGAAUACAUCUGCAAACUAGUGAAAAUGGGCCAUUGAUGAAAAGUAGAGCUUCAAUGCAUGCUAGUCUUAUGCCAAGAACUUGGCUCUGAACUAAAAGAAAAUUUCAGCCUCGUCAGUCUUUGCUAGAAUAUUAUGAGAUUCAAGCCAACUUCACUAAAAUUUGUUGAGGCAAACCCAUAACAAAAGAGAUACUAGCUUUUUGUUUCAUGAGUUUCAUGAGAAUGAACUGUUGUUCUGCAGGGUGUCCCUUUAAGGAUAGAAGUUGGACCUCGUGAUGUUGCUAACAGGAGUGUGGUUGUAUCUAGAAGAGACAUCCCGGGAAAGCCUGGUAAGGAUUUUGGGGUAUCCAUGGAGCCUUCAAAAUUAGAAUCUCAUGUGAAGAGCAGGUUGGAGGACAUACAGGCAUCACUUUUACAGAGGGCUAUAUCAUUCCGCGAUAGGUAAAUCUUAAUAUUCUGACGUCCAUUACUUUUAAAAUGUUGACUUGCUUGAAUCGGAAGUUAUAUGCAACUUAUAUGCCAUCAAUAGUAAAGAACAGUAGAAUAGUACGUGUUCAAUUGCAGCAUCUCUAUGAAAUGUAUGCCAUUCAUUCUUUUUUGAUAAAUAAAGUAUUAUACCUAUUAUUUUCCAGAGAUUUGAAAACCCAUUUGAUGUUUAUCUAUUCUGGUGGAACAAUUGUUGACUGAUGGCUGCUGGAAUGAUGAGUACAGUGUGAUACAAGAUGUUGAUCAUAUAUGUAAACUACAUGAUAUUAGGUGCAUAUAUAAAUGAAUGUUGUAUCCAAUCUUCUAGUUCUUUGGAUGUUUAUUCAUAAAACUUAAUAGACAUAUUGUCUGCAAUCCAAGUUUUUUUUUGGUUUUUGUGUGCGCGCACAUAAUGAAGGGUCUUGUGCAUCAAUUACAGCAAUGUGAAGAUCAAUUGAGAACUCUUCGUUCCUGUUUGUUGUUUAUUAAAAAGGCAGCCUGUUUUUUUUUUUUGUGCUGAUUGUGGAAAUAUAUGAGUAUACAGUAACAUUGUGGAUGUGCACUCGUAUGAGGAGCUCAAGGCUGUAAUUGCCCAAGGAAAAUGGGCAAGGGGCCCAUGGUCAGCUGGGUAAGAAACUGAAGUUAUCAAAAUUUUCCUUUCUCCAUACUGAAAUUGGGAAAAAAAAACGAGUCUCGUAAUACUAACAAAGCUAUAAUUCCUGGUAAAUUUUAGUGAUAAGGAGGAGUUGAAGGUGAAAGAAGAGACAGGUGCAACGGUAAGAUGCUUUCCAUUUGAGCAGCCCCAGGGGCGGAAGACAUGCUUCAUGACUGGUAAUCCUGCAGAUGAAGUUGCAAUUUUUGCUAAAUCUUACUAAGUUCUCUGUAUCACUUUUCCAAUCACUAGCUCAAGAGAAUUUUUUCCUCUUAUUUCACCAAUGUAUUCAUGUAACAAUAUUCAUUUACAUCUCAGACUCUUGCUUAUUUAAAUUAUGUAAACUAGAGUCAUCUGAUCAUUUCUGUGUAUUGGUGGUCCUUGUAAAUUUAUGAUUAUAAUGUAUCACUAAAUUAAGAAACUGGCACGUGAGUUUAUGAUCUAAUCAUUUGGUCAUUGUUCUAUCCGGUGUCAUUUUUAGAGAGCUUGAUAGUUCAUGUAGGCUUAUCUGGCUACAGAGGGCAACAUGAUAGUAACAUAUAAUCUAUGAUUAAAUUAUUUACUAAUAUCUAUUGGUGGAUAAUCAGCAAGAUGCAACUAUAAUAAAUGUUUUAAUGAUACAAAUGGGUUGAUAUUAGCAUAGUUUAAGAAAGAUUUAUGGAGGUCCAGUAGAUUUCAUUUAGAAAUCCUUCGUCGAAAGUUAUUUUGUCACUGAAGACAGAAGUUAUGGAUACUCUGGAAGUUAUACUGGAACAAGCUGAAGGAUGAAUUCAAGCCCUUCACUAUUACAAGAUCCUUGACUGGCUCCUUGAUUAUCAGCUAAAGGGGGAAACGAAGUGACAUUUGACUCACAAAUGUUCAAAAGGUCAAUAUUUUAUAAGAAAGGUUAAAUUCACCUAUUAGGUGCAAUCCCAAGCACGUAAGUCUGAAAGAUGACUUCACUUGAAGCAUUAACCAUCUCCACCAUAUCCAAUAUUGAGUAAGGUAUUCAAUGUGGCCUGAAUCAUCUCAAUCGGAGCUUGGACGUAGAUGAUAAGGUUAAAAGAAGAAAAAAUUGCAGCGAUAUUCCUUCAACUUUUGGUGGUUUGUACUGGCAUUUUAAAACUUUUAAUUUUUUUAAUUAAACCUUUGGUAGCAAUGUACCUCAAAGAUCCAUCUCUUUUAGGAUCGGUGAACAUGAGAUUAUCAUGUGGCAUAAUUUCAGAAAUUAUAUUUCAUAAAUGUCCUUCCCUCCUAGAUUAGAAGAGGGAUUAGUAUUUUUGGCAGAAAGGCAUAAGAUCGCAUGGUCAUCACAUGACUUCUCCCUCGAAGUCAAGAUGCUUGUGGCAGCAGGUUGUUGUCCCAUGCAUUCCAAGUUGCAGCUGAUCUUCAGUACCUUCCACUGCGUCCUCCAUGCCGUGCCUGCGGAUGGCCUUCCCCAUCCUUGACGAGAUUUGGCAGCCCGCUGGAUUUUAGCUCUUAAUCCUUCGUUUCUUGCUUUUUUUUGAUAAAAAAAAUAGGAGGGGAGGGGGUGGGCGCGUAGCAGCCUCCACUGGGCUCCCUUCCACCAGAAAAUGUUCGAUACAGGUCACAGAUUUUUGCGUGCUUUUCUCAACCCGUGAGCUCACCCCACUAGGCUCACCGCCUCACGUGUGGGUACGUCACCCCAGCACUACCUUGGUAUAGAUGGAAGGAAAGCAUAUCCGCCAGCGAGCCAUCCGAGCGUGGGGCAUCCGGUCUCCUAAUUUAAUCGACGCCCGCGCGUUUCGAACCCGAGCAACUCGAGUGGAACUAUCGUCCCCUUACCACCAGGCUACCACCUUGAUGGCUUCGUUUCUUGCUUCACGUGCCAGCAGAUGGCCUUUUCCAUCUACGAGGAGAUUUGUCCUUUUCUUUUUCAGUUUUUUUAGUCAUAUAGAUUCUUGAAGUGGUUUGUCAUUCAAGGACAGACCACCUGAUGCACAUUCUUCCCCUCUCUCCUCUAAUAAAAACAGGUGGCCAAUUGGUCUCUCAUUGCAACAAAAAUAAAAAGAUGGAAAACUAAUGGAAAUUGGACUUUGCUUUUUGAUAACCUUGCGAAAAAACAAAGAGAAAGUCCUCCCUCCGCCGGUCUUCUCAGCUUCCAUCUCUUCUUCGUUCCUUGUUCCUCCUCUUUUCUUUUCUCCUGUUCGUUUUCUUUUUCUGGUGCUUUAUUUUGUUUCUUCUUGAUCCGACUUGGUUUAGUUUAGGGGGAAGGGCGGAUUCUUUCAUUCUUUUGUUCUGUCUCUUGAAGAAAAAGAAAAAAAUCUUUUGGGGACUCUUGUCUGAUCUCAUUAUGGAGCUUGCUCACUAAAUUCCAAAAAGUCAGGUAACUGGCCGGAAUGGAGGGGUGUAAGAGGGGCUAAUCAUGUGCGUCGCCGACUAAUUUUCUCCAAAUUUGAUUUUUUUACACUAAUAACCUUCAAGAUAAAUUAGUCAUUUCAAUGCUUUGGUUAACGGCAUUAAAGCUCAGAUGAACGUCGAAGGUACAUUACAACCAAAUUUUAACUUUAAGAUUUAAUUAAAAAAAUUAAUAGCUUUGAAGUAUAAGUACGAAUUGCGAAAAGUUAAAAAGGUGUCACUGUAAUUUUUCUUUAAAAAAUGAAGCUAAAUUGUGCAUUUCAGUCCCUGAAUAGAAGGUGUAUUGGUUGAAACUAACGAUGUGUCAUUACAGUCAAUUGAACGGAUGGUGCAUUAGUAGGCCAUGUGCAGUGAAAUUUUGUAUUAGUAAUAGUUCGAAUUCGGCUAGAAUUGGAUUUACAUUGUAUCAAGGGCAUAACAACUAGUCGGAAGGUAUGAACUGCAUGAUUCAUGCCAUCGAAAGGGAUUUUCAUUCUGCAAAGUCAUGUACGGUGUAUUUCUUAGUUUAGGUGUCUCAGGAGUUCUUUUUCUUGUUUUUUUAAAACUCUGGUGGUACCUAGACAUCCUAGGCACCGUAACAGAUCCUGAAGCCUAUAAAUAUCCUCUUUUGCACUCAUUUUUGAGUAUUGAAAAAUUAAUAAAUUAAUAAAAAAUAUCCUCUUUUACUGGGUGCACUAUAGUUGCCUUUUGCAUGAUUCUUUUUUGUGCAAUCUUCGUGGAUGUUAGCGAUUGGCAAAGCAGCUCGUGGAGUGCUUGAUUGUGGAGCACCUCUAAGUGGAGUUGGUGUAGUUCUUGGCAACAAUGCGGCUCUCUAGGUGGCAAGGCAAAAAGCUAAUAUUAUCUUUUCUUAUAGUUUCAUUUUUAGUAUCUAAAUUUUAAUCUUUAGUUUUCAAAUUGAUAAAUGCUUUCAAAGUUUUAGGUUUAAAUCUACUGCAUUGUUUUAGUUUCUGACUAGGUAACUUUGAAGCUUGCGCUAAACCUCUAGCCUACAUUUAAGGUCUGUGGAGUGAUUGAUUAUAACCCUAUUUGAUUUUGAUGAGCUCAAAGCAUUUGAGUAUAUCUUGUACUAAUGAAUUCAAUCUAGUGUUUCAGCGAAAUAUUUGUGAAUUUAUGUUUAAGUGUCUCUAGCUUUGGUUCAAUACAUUUUGGCUAAGUAUGGAAAUCAAUUUGAACCAAAGUCUGAAGCUCGAGUCGACUCCGGAAGAUUACGAGUCGACUCCAAGUGUAUCAGAAGCACUGGCACAAGCUCGAGUCGACUCCGGCACAUUACGAGUCGACUCUGACUGAGAACAGACAGCAGGACAGAAAGAUAAAUCUCAGACCCUGUCACCGAGUCGACUCCUGAAGAAUUAGAGUCGACUCCGAUGCUUGCCGAGUCGACUCCAGCAAAGUACGAGUCGACUCCAUGGAGUAACAGACUGAAAGACAGAGAAGUCGUUUUGGACUCUGAGAAUCGAGUCGACUCCAGAAGAACUCGAGUCGACUCCAAUGGUUGGCGAGUCGACUCCUAAGGAAGCAAGAGUCGACUCUCAGAGGAAUGCAAGACAAAGUCAGAGAGCCAACUUCGGUGUCUGAGAGCCGAGUCGACUCCAGCAAAGUUCGAGUCGACUCCGAGGCAGUUCACCUUCAAAACACAGAGAAACAGUUUUCGGAUCCUGAGAGCCGAGCCGACUCCAAGUACUCAUGAGUCGACUCCCAAGUCAGCCGAGUCGACCCCAACAAAAUCCGAGUCGACUCAGAGGCAGUUCAACUCCNNNNNNNNNNNNNNNNNNNNNNNNNNNNNNNNNNNNNNNNNNNNNNNNNNNNNNNNNNNNNNNNNNNNNNNNNNNNNNNNNNNNNNUAGAUCUCUGGAACCCUGAGAACGAGUCGUCUCCGGAGGGCCGAGUCAUCUCCGGACAUUGGCGAGUCGACUCCACGUUUGGCCGAGUCGACUCCAGAACGGGACGGCACUUUAUUUCAAAUUUUGAACAGUGGGCAAGUCGACUCCAGUAAAGCAUGAGUCGACUCCAGCAACAGCCGAGUCGACUCCAGAUCGAGCGAGUCGAAUUCGAUCCCAACGGACACUUUGUUAGGAGUUGCAGAGUGUGCAGAACGGCCAUAAAUGUGUGUCUAACGGCUAGUUUUCGUUGGGGAUGGCUUAAAUAGCCAGAGUGAACAGUAAUAGAGUAAGAAAGAGAGACUCCAUUAAAAGCAAAAGAGAUUUCCACCUACCAAAGCCUCUCUAGAGUAAAUACAAGAGAAAGAAGGAAGAAGUGCAUUGAAGUCCAUCCUCCCAACAUCUUCCUCGCAUUCAAGGCUCCUCAUCUGACAGCAAAUCUUCAUCCCACUCACGAGGAGAUUGCAAAGUUCGAGAAGCCUCUUUCCUCAAAUCUAAAAAUCUGUUUGAGGGCUUCUAACUCUUCUUUAGUUAUAUUGUUUAUAUUUGCUUUUCAAGAAGCUAUUCCUGUACUCUUUACAAACUGUUUUCUUGUUACUUGAUUCAAUCAGGGGAUUGAAUCAAGGGUGUAGAGGUUGGUUGGUGAGCCGAGGUUAAAACCAACGGUGUAAGGGUUUGAUUGUGAUCCCGGAAAAACAAUCGGGUGGUUCUAGUCGGUGAGCCUGUGAAAACCGACCGAGUUCGUUGUGAUCUCGUAAAACAACAAGUUGGGUUGUGAGCUUGUAAAACAACCGGCUGUAAUCCGAGGGAUUAUAGUGAACUCCCAAGUGAAGCUUGGGGAGUGGAUGUAGGAGCAAGGGUUAGCUCCGAACCACUAUAAAAUCUCUUGUGUUUGUGAUUGUUUCAUUGUCUCUUCCAUUCCUUUCAUUCACUGCAUAUAGUAACUAAUUAAUCCACUUNNNNNNNNNNNNNNNNNNNNNNNNNNNNNNNNNNNNNNNNNNNNNNNNNNNNNNNNNNNNNNNNNNNNNNNNNNNNNNNNNNNNNNNNNNNNNNAACAAGGUCUUUCCUAUUUGUAAAGCAUGCAUGCUUAGUUAGGACUUAUAAUUUGCUUAGAAAUUGAUUUUUGGUUUGUUUUUAAAAUUUGCCUUAUUUCUAAACUCCUAGACAUUUUCAGAUUCUAUAUGCUUUCAAAUUGUUUCCAAAGUUAAAAUUCAGGUUUGCAUGUGUUGAGAGCGAAUAGAAUUCCAGUCUGGUUUGAGGUGGUAGGAUGGCUGUUCAGGUCUUGCUUAGAUUUAUUAUAGUAGUUUGACUUGAUUUGUCAUUGAUGGGGGGCGAAAUGGAUCAUCCAGCUCAUAACAAAAGGGCCACCCAAUUUCGGCCCAACAGUCACCAAUGCCGACUAGACGUGUCCUCGGUCCGGCCCAAAAUCAGCCCGACCUCGGACUUCGCCGAAAGCUCCUCCAACCUCGGAUGUUUGCCAAUGCGCCCCGACCAAGUUCGGAGCGCCCUCCUUAUUCGCCGACGCGCCCCGGCCAAGUUCGGGGCACCCUCCUUAUUCGCCGAUGCGCCCCGGCCAAGUUUGGGGUACCCUCUCCAAGUACACGCCCCGACCUCCUGAGCUCGAGGCACUUCACCGGGCACACCUCGGCACUUGUCAAGCCGACCUCGCCAAAUGCAUGAUGCGACCAUUCCAUGAGUUCGGUCUUGCCGACAGCCGCACCCAUGUGCAUGCCCACACCCUUCUACGUGGUCGUACAUCGCGACGCCGCCACGCCACACUUUGCUAGCUGGCCCACGGCAGACCAAGGACAACGCCAUGCUACUCCGGCCAUACCCUACUACGACUAUCAAUACCUUACCAUUUCCAAGAACGGACUCCACCGCGUGCCACAAGCAAGCUUUGGCUACGCGCCACUCCCCCUCAUGAUGGGAACGGGCUAUACCUCCGCUACUUGAGUACCCCUACCGGGACUAUAAAAAUCCCCAACAGCUAAUAUUGAGGGAACUUUUGGCUGGACCUACUAAGCUCCACACUAACUUAAUCGUCGGAGGGUCCUCACCGGAAACACCGGUGAGGCUUUAUGCACGUACCCCGGUCGGUUGCGGGAGGUGGCUCCCCUUGUCAUCCUCCACACUCCGGUAGCUCCUCCGACUCCUCCGGUGUGGUCACCCUCGGGCCAGAUUUGAACCACAAUAUUUUUGGCGCUAGAGGAAGGACCUGAGUCGUGAUCAUGAAGCUAAGGAGUCAUGGAGCUCCAAAUGCAUCAAGCAGCCGGAUCUCACCACCCAGCCACUUUCUUCAAAAUCCACCCCCUGCAGCACCUCCACCAGCGGUCCAGAUCCCUCCGGUCUAGCCGAAGCAGUUUGAUUUGCUUCUUCAGCAGGUCCAAACACUGACCGCGACCGUCCAAGGCCUACAGUGAGACGGGGUCCAGUCUGCACCUCCUCUUCGCGGGUGUGAGUCCACAGGAUGCCACCUGCGACGUCGCUCGUGAGUCAUUUUCUAAAUAACUUAUUUUUAAAAAUCAAAACCCAACUAGUAUUGCCCAGGUGGGUGAAUAUUAGAAUUUUUUCUAAAUAUGGGUUGCCACGAUUGGAUUUUUUUAAUUACAAAAAAAAGGUUAGUUGUUAGACUAGCAAAGCCCAAUAUAGAGUGUGAUUUAUAUAGCUUUUAGGCCUAGGUCCGCCUGGCUAAUUGCUUCUGGUAUGUUAUGAAAGGUGUGAGGCCUCUUUUAUAGAUUGUGCUAAUUGAUGGGAUGGUUCAAAAUAAAAUUAACCCUAGGGCUAGGUCCUCUCUCUAUCCAGAAUAUUGUACCCUAUAUAAAUGGCUAUUGCAGUGCUUUGCGGGCCCUAUCGAGAGCUACCAUGCAGAAAUUGAAAAGGAAGAGGGAUUUCUAACCUAGACAUGUGACUACCUCGCAUCUUCCUAACUAUUGUUCAGUUCUUUUGCUUGUGUCCAUGGUUGCAGGCUAUUUUCAAGAAUUUAUCAAUGGUGGCAAUAGAUUAUAGGUUCUUCUAUAUGUUUAUAUAAUUUUCUGAUGUUCUAUUUCUCGAUAUUCCUAUUAUAAAUUUUCCUAGAUGGCACAAGAAUAAAAAGGGUAAUGUGUGUAAUAAACAUCUUAAAGCGAUCACAAAGCAUAAGCUAGCUCAGAACAAUUUCAAAUGAUACAGUUGUAUUCAUGCAAAAAAAAAACUCAAUUGCUUACUAGGGCUAGGUGAAUUUCCAAAGCGACCCUUUUAUUAUAUUAAAUAUGAAAAAGAGUAACCACAAUAUGCAUAAUUAGCACGCAAGAAACAAUUCCUGGUAAAGACAUGCAAGAAACAUCUUGACUUGCUUUUCUCUCCACAAUUCCGAAAAGUUUCUCGCAUCUAGCAAUCAGUAUUGCAAGGCUCCCCUCACACCAUUUGAGCAGCUUUGACUGGCGCUAUUGACGGAAACUCCUCGAGGUUAUAGGCGUUGUUGUGUUUGGUUUUCUCAAACUUCUCUCCAUCGCCCCACAGCGCAUACGCCUCCUCACCGUGGAUGGCAUCAUCGCCUAUCUGCAAGUCCUCUUCGCUGAGGCGAAGCGGCACGAUCAGCCUGAUGACCAAGCAGAUGAUGGUAGUCAUGGUGACAUUGACAAAGAUGAUGAAGAGGAUGCCAGCAAGCUGGACUCCUAACUGGCGGAGGCCGGCGCUUGCACGGCGGUCCUUCAAGCCGUACAAUAAGCCAAUGUACUUGUCGACGUCGUCACUAGGGAAAAAGAUUUUGUUCAGCCGGGGUUCGGCGAAGAGACCGGUGAGGAUGCCCCCAAGACUGCCAGCGACAGCAUGGGUGUGGAAAAUGGCCAUGGUGUCAUCGACAUGCUUGAGGAACUGGAUCUUCUUGUGGAGAAUCAUCAUGGUGUACCAGGGAAUGCUGCCUGAGAGGAUGCCCAUGAUGAUGGCCGCCCAAGUCUGCACCACUCCUGCCUCCCAUGAAAUGAAUUUUAAGUUAGAGCACAAUGUUGACCUUGACUCAAGUCCAAUGAUCUAGGAGGUGGAGGCUUGCACCAAGACUUUUAAUUGAGUUAACAAAGAUAGGAGGAAUAACUUGGAGCAAAUUAAGGGAGUAAAAUAUUUUUUUAAUGGAAUUCACUUUUUUUCCUUCAACAAAUUUUCUUCAAUAUGGAUCAAAAAUGAUUUCUUGAUGCAUUAGGUUACUUGUUUUUGUAAUAAAUAUCUGAAUUUGCAGGUAUACCCUUGUGAAUUUACUAUAUAUAUCCUUAUAAAUUAUUUUUGUCGCAUAUGUGAUCAGCAUGCUAUUUAAGACAAUGAAGAGACAAAUUGUUUAAAACUGAAAUGGUUGAAAUACCCUCAACUUAAUAAGAAUAUAUAUAUAAAUAUAAAUAUAUAUAUAUAUAUAUAAAUAUAUAUAUAUAUUUAUAUAUAUAUAAUUUAUAAAGAUAACCUUGCAAAUAAUAAACUCGUAAAGGUAUACACAUAAUUUCAAAUAUUUAUAAAGAUAUAUAUGCAAAAAUAUUUUUUUUGAUUAAUGUGACAUAACUUGGCCUUUUAGCCCAUUGAAUCAGUUUAACCUUAGAUUUGUGGAUUGCAUCUAGCUUUAGACGUUUCACCUCCUGAAGCUGAUCCUGAUUCAAUUAUAGAUCAAGCUAGACCCAAGGUCCAAACCAAUCCAUUUACGAGUUCUCUUUACAAAUGCAUAGGAAUUAGAAACUAAAAAAGGAUUACCUGCAGCAGGAGUGAUGCAGACGAGUCCAGUGAUCAUGCCUUGAACAGCGCCGAUGACGGAUGGCUUGGUGAAGAAGAAGUCAUCGAGGAGGAGCCAAACAAGGAGGCUGGUGGCAGCGCACACGUGGGUGUUCAAAACGGCGAGAGAUGCAUCUGCAUUUGCCGAAUACGGCCCACCUCCAUUGAACCCGGUCCAACCCAUCCACAGUAGCCCUGCGCCGGCCAACAUCAGCAGAAUAUUGUUUGGUGGAAAUCUCUCCUUGUCAUUGCUUGUCCGAGGCCCCACCUGCGUGUUAUGUUACAUUUUUCGCACGCCAGAAAAAUCAUGGAGCCAAUGAAGAAGCUAUUUUCAUAUGAGUAAUUUAUUAAGGUCAUGUAAAGUAAUGAUAACUCUUAAGCCAUAUUGUCGCUAGUGAUAAUUUCAUCAGAUAGACUGGGUUAUUUUUUUAUGGUUUUGGUCGAAUGAAAUUAGUUUUGGGUGUAAUCAGAUGGGACUUAGGAAAGGGAAAAAUAAAGACUCUCGCCUCUAAAUAAAAUUCUCAAUUAACUAACUGAAUUCCAUAAAAUUCCAUCCAAUCCAUUAUCCAUUAAGUGCUUCUCUAGAUAUUCUUGCACGAAUUGGCUUGAUGGCCCGUCCAGCUAGCCUGCAGGCUUCUAAGAGCCCCUCUAACACGGACUAUUCCAAAUGGGUUGCCCAAACCUUCUAGACUACCCAAUCAGGGCUUAAAGUUAAAAUUGCAGCCACGGUCCGUCCUAUUUGACAUGCAAUUUGUUUUCUACCCUGCUCAAGAAAAUCAAUGUUUAAAAGAACCAAAGUUCCAUAUGUUGUUGUGACCUUUUUCAUGUAUGAAAAUAUAGCAAAGCCGGCCCCUUUUUUCCUCUCUCUUGCUUCCAUCUUUUGUCAUGUUCCCAGCAAAAUACUCGUGCCCGUAUCCAUCCUUAGCAAUACAGGUCUCCCAAAUUAUUGUACCGGGCCACCACAAUUCGGAACUUAUUUAACUCAAACAUACUGGCAGCACUCCGGACCAAUAUAUGAAAACAUAGGGAGAGAGUGUGGGCAAAAAUAUAUUUAUUUUGAUAGCUAGAAAUCCUUACCCAGUAUGCAGCAGUAAAUCCGGCGAUCCCUGACGAGAGGUGAAUCACGUACCCUCCACAGAAAUCGAUGACCCCGAGCUUAUUCAAGAACCCUUCGGGGCUCCAGACGCUGAAGGCCCCAACGGUGUAGGAGAAGGUGAUCCACAGGGGCACAAACAGCAUCCAUGCAUGGAAGUUCAUCCUCCCGAGGAGCGACCCGGCGACGAGGAUGGCGGUGAUGGCGGCGAAAACAAACUGAAAGAAGACGAGGGUGGCCUCAGGAUACGCGCCAGCAAAACCCUGUUCCAGGAGGGAAUGCUGGUCGAGGGCGAAGUUGGGCUUGCCCAAGAAGGGGACGAGUUUGUCGCCGAAGGACAUGUGGUACCCCCAGGUCACCCAGCAGAUGAGGACGGCAGCGAAGGCGUAGAGGGCCAUGAAGGCCGAGUUCACAGCCCACUUCUUCUUGACAAUGCUGCCGUAGAGGAUGACGAGGCCCGGCACGCUCUGGAGGCCGACGAGGGUCGACGCAGUCAGCUGCCAUGCAUUGUCGCCAUGGUCAACCCAGCCGAAGGGGUCAGGGGGAGGAGCAGCGGUAGUAUUGCUCAUUUUUCUUUCUUCCUGCUUCCUGUCUGAUGAGAAGGGGAGGUCGUGGAAGGAGGGUUGGAUUGAGAGGUGGUGAAGUUAAGGGGGGGCUGGAGUGAUAUAGAUAUGUGCGUACAACAGGACGAGGGCUUAGUCUGAGAGUACUAUGCUCCUUGGAGUUGGCGUUCGCUCCUGUUUGAUUUGGUCUCGAGAUAUCCAACUGGAUGCAGCCUUUGUUCAUGGUGGAAUCUCCGUGAAAAUUCCAAGGGCUUCGUGGGAUCUAAUUUAUGGAAACAAUGAGCAAAAUAGCUGUUCUAGCCCUUGAUUGUGAAGUAUAAAGAAAAUAAUGAAAUACGCACCUAGACAAUGUCUUCCUAACAUAGUUUUCACGUAUAAAACAAACUUUAAGUUGCUAGCUAUGUUGUGGUCGUCUUUCUCUUUCAUCUAAUGCAUCUGAUGUUCAGGAAUAAUGGAUUAGAAACAACCUAGAUCCUAACUCUCCAGCACACUUCAUAUGAGAGCUACUCGUCAGGAUCUGAAAAGGGACAAAAGAUAAAGAGGUGAACUAACAGCCGAAUAAAUUAUCUCUACCUCUAAUUGCAUCAAGGAUAAAAUGUAUUAGAAAUGCUAAUUUACAUAAACUAUGAUUAUCAAUUGUAUAAUGGAAGUAAAUUUGCCAAAUUCAUGAUGGAAUUCACAAAAAGCUUGUUCAUAAGGAAACAUCUUACUAUGUAAAAAAAAUACGUAAUGCAUCUGGUAAAUUUUCAAUUAAAGAGAUUUGAAAAUCCGCCCUCUUUUGGCUUUUACAAUUACAGCCACAAUUAAUUCCAUAACAAGGUCCAAAAUAGACUACUUCUUAUAUACAAAACAUGCCAUCGAUCACUAUGUGCCAGCGAUUAGCUUCCACUAUCUUGGCCCAAAAGAAAAGUAGCUCUGAGUCAUAUGAAAAUGUGCCUGUGAUCAGCCCAAACUAGCAAAGCUCAACAGAAUUAGUCCUUGAACACGCAACCCUAUUGGCUAGGCCAGACUUAUAGUCAGGCUAGAGAGGAACAAAAUGUUCGUUCCAAACCAAUUUCUUGACCAUAUAAAAAUCCAAGAAUUUUAUAAAUAAGAUUUGACAACUUAUUUUGUAGCAUUUAAUUAUGUAUAGUCAAAUCAACACAUAUUUUGAUGCAUCAUAAUUCAGUUUCAUGCCUAAGUACUUUAUUGUUGGUCAAUUUUUUUUUAAAAUUUACUGUUAUACAGAGCAUACAUAAUAUUUAAUUCAAACAUAAAAACAAAUGUGCAUAAAUAAUUUUUGUAAUGUCAAUAUCAAAUAUUUAAGCUAUUUUUCAAAUGCAGGAAUAAAACUAAGUGACAUAUGUUUUAGAUUAUAUUACACGGCAUACAUGAUAAAAUCACUGGAGUUAAAAGACGAAAAGCUAAGGUAAGAAUUUGCAUAGAGAUGAUAGGCGUUUAUUGUGGAGCUCGAUAGUCUCCCUUAAAACCUUGAAACUAGCAUAUUGGAAGAUCAAUCGGCCAAAAUAACCAUGAGCAGCUACGAUAUUAUAAGUUUCUCCCUCUUGACCGAAUCCGUAACGUGCGAAAUUAUAGAAGAU